ACCAAUGCAUAAGUAUCUAAAUUGUUCCUCUUCAGGUCACCAAGUUCAUACCUGACAGCGGCAAGAUUAAAAGUCAUCCCAUCUAUUUUUUCAUUAAGCUUUGUCGAUUCCUUCUCAUGGUUGCAAUUUUGAAAGUUUGCUUCACCCUCUCCGUUUGUUUUUAUGCUUUUAUGGAGCCCUCCUCAGGAGUUCAAAUAAUUUCACGGUUAUCUAUUUGAAGUUUUUUACAUGAAGAUAUGGAUUAAAGAAUGCCGACUGCUCAAAAUCACUCAAGCAACCAAGUCUAUGAUUAUAAGCCAAAUUUCAUGAUUUAACUGUAUUGAUCUAUAAUAUAUGAGAUUGCAUAAUAUAUAUUCUUUGAUAGAUAAAUGUGUCUAGUUAUGGACGAAAUUUAUAAAAUCAAAUUUGGACUUCUCUUCUUAAAGAUUUUCACAAUUUAGUGCACAAAGGUCACAACUAUCUUGAAACUACACAAGACCCGAAGUUUCUGCGUUAAUUGAUAUCAAUUAACAAGGAAUAAAAUUACAAACUAUACAUUUCUAGAAAUAUUUAUUCCUCAGGAGUUCAAAUAAUUUUACGAUUUUCUAUUUGAAGUUUUCUACAUGAAGAUAUGGCUUAAAGAAUGCUGACUGCUUAGAAUCACUGAAGCAACCGAGUAAAUGAUUAUCAGCCAAAUUUCAUGCUUUAACUGUAUUGAUAUAGAAUAUAUGAGAUUGCAUAAUAUAUAUUCUUUGAUAGAUAAAUGUGUCUAGUUAUGGAAGAAAUUUACAAAAUCAAAUUUGGACUUCUCUUCUUAAAGAUAUUCACGAUUUAGUGCACAAAGGUCACAACCGUCUUCAAAAUUACACGAGACCCGAAGUUUCUGAAUUAACUGAUAUCAAUUAACACGUAAUAAAGUUAAAAACUAUAUAUGUCUAGAAAGAUAUAUUCCUCAGGAGUUCAAAUAAUUUUACAAUUUUCUAUGUGAAGUUUUCUACAUGAAGAUAUGGCUUAAAGAAUGCUGACUGCUCAGAAUCACUGAAGCAACCAAGUAAAUGAGUAUCAGCCAAAUUUCAUGAUUUAACUGUAUUGAUCUGGAAUAUAUAAGAUUGCAUAAUGUAUAUUAUUUGAUAGAUAAAUGUGUCUAGUUAUGGAAGAAAUUUACAAAAUCAAAUUUGGACUUCUCUUCUUAAAGAUAUUCACAAUUUAGUGCACAAAGGUCACACCCAUCUUGAAACCACACAAGACCCGAAGUUUCUGAAUUGACUGAUAUCAAUUAACAAGGAAUAAAAUUACAAACUAUAUAUGUCUAGAAAGAUUUAUUCCUCAGGAGUUCAAAGAAUUUUACAGUUUUCUAUUUGAAGGUUUCUACAUGAAUAUAUGGCUUAAAGAAUUCUGACUACUCAGAAUCACUGAAGCAACCAACUUAAAAAAUGUAUUAGUUCUUUGUUUCAGCCUCUUUCCCCUAGAAGCACGACUGCCAGACAUUACAUGCUCAUUUUUCUUACAUUUCUACAUUUUUUUUAAUUCUUUUUUGUUUUGUCAAAUUAUCGAACAAGUGUUUGAUUUUAAAGCAUUGGUCAUUACAUGGUUAUAUAGCUGAAAUCUCCACAUAACCAUCUCUUUACUCAACAACAAAAUAAUCAUAACAGUUCUAAAUAUCAUAUUACAAAGAAUAUAUACAGUACUAACUUUGUUGAUCAAUAUCCAUUGCUUUCUUGUAAUGAUAGCUCCCAGAUUUACCUUGAACAUAAAUUUUUUGAAAACCCAAAAACUUGAUUAAUUGACAAAAAACUCUACUCAAAUUUAUUCAGAUUGAUUGACCAAAAACUCCACUCAAAUUUGUUCCUUGAUGAGAUAUUGUUUGUUACUUGCAAAUAUGAGUUUGAAUUGUGUUUUGUUGAUAGGAACUUAUUCUACCAACAGUCAGCAGUUAACAAGUUGUAUUUGUCAAAAUAAACCGUGUGGGAUCGUGUAGUUUGCUCAAGUCCGAGAAAUUUUAGUGACCACCCCUACAAUUUUAAAUAUUCUCACAAUUUCACUUAAAUAACAUAUUUUGUUUAAUUACACAAAAUUUAUGGGAAUACUUAAUUACAUUUUAAAGUUUAUUUUACUAUGUAUCCUACAUCAUUCAUUACUGGCUUUUCGUAAUUUUAUUAAGUAAUAAUGUCAGGCCAAACAUGAAAGAGUUUCAACAUUUAAUUAAUUUGAAAACUCAAUGCGAUACUCAAAAUUGAUAAAAUAGUACUUAAUUCAUAUCCUUAAUGUUAUAAGAUAAUUCGAUUAUCAUGUAAUCAAANNNNNNNNNNNNNNNNNNNNNNNNNNNNNNNNNNNNNNNNNNNNNNNNNNNNNNNNNNNNNNNNNNNNNNNNNNNNNNNNNNNNNNNNNNNNNNNNNNNNNNNNNNNNNNNNNNNNNNNNNNNNNNNNNNNNNNNNNNNNNNNNNNNNNNNNNNNNNNNNNNNNNNNNNNNNNNNNNNNNNNNNNNNNNNNNNNNNNNNNNNNNNNNNNNNNNNNNNNNNNNNNNNNNNNNNNNNNNNNNNNNNNNNNNNNNNNNNNNNNNNNNNNNNNNNNNNNNNNNNNNNNNNNNNNNNNNNNNNNNNNNNNNNNNNNNNNNNNNNNNNNNNNNNNNNNNNNNNNNNNNNNNNNNNNNNNNNNNNNNNNNNNNNNNNNNNNNNNNNNNNNNNNNNNNNNNNNNNNNNNNNNNNNNNNNNNNNNNNNNNNNNNNNNNNNNNNNNNNNNNNNNNNNNNNNNNNNNNNNNNNNNNNNNNNNNNNNNNNNNNNNNNNNNNNNNNNNNNNNNNNNNNNNNNNNNNNNNNNNNNNNNNNNNNNNNNNNNNNNNNNNNNNNNNNNNNNNNNNNNNNNNNNNNNNNNNNNNUUAUUUAUUUGUCAUAUUCUUUUAUUAUUAGUUUGGCAUAUUCUUUUUACUAAUAUUUAAAUCUUUUAGACAUACUACUAAAAUUAAAUAAUUAUACCUAACAUUCACAAUAAUUUCACAAUGAUUUAUAAAAUUUAUAUUAUUUUUUACAAUAUCUUAUUUAAUUAUGUCUACGUUAAUAUAAAUCUUAAAAGCAAUUUUUGAAUUAAUAGAUUUUAGUUAAUCCAUCAAGAUAGACUAAUAAUAACUUAAUAUUAGCAAAAUUUUCGUUGUACACGUUAUUUUAUCAACUAUACUUAUUAUAACAUUUUAUUUGUAUCAUAUGAUAUUUAUUUAUUAUUUUUAUCUUAUUACUAUAUUUAUAUUUAUUUAGAUUAUUUUAAUCCAUCAUUAAAAAAAAGAUUAUUUUAAUCAAAAGGUAUAAUAGUCAUUUAUGAAACUAAGAAAGUCUGUGUGAUCAUUUAUGAAACUAAAGGGAUCUAUAUGAUUAUUUAAGCAAACCUUAGGGGUGUGAGUGACUUUUUUCUAAAUUAAUAUUAAUUUAAAAUUAACAAAUUAAUGUUUACCCGCAACCUGUAGGUUACCUGUUAUAUUUUAAUUAAUUAUCUAAUUAUUUAUUAUAUUAAAUUAAUGAUUCAGAUUAAAACUCUUACAUCGGAUGGUCCACAUUAAUCAUACUAUCAAUGCUAUAAAAAUCCAUACAGUAUCAUAGAAAAAUCUUUUGUUUUUUCAACUCUGUCUUCUUCCUCAUCCUUCUUCUUUUUUCUUAUUUUCCUUUUUUUUUUUAUUUCAUCUCACAAAACAAUGGACCAAACUCAGGAACAAAUAUUCACAAAUAAUUCUUCACAUUGAAGACUUCCUUUUACAGUUACUAAUAAUUCUUCGGAGACGAGAAAUAAUUAUGACGGAUCAUGUUAGUCAUAGCCGGUACUGAUUUCACAGUUUAUCAAUUGGUAAAUUCAUGUGCACCAAAUAGUUAGUUUGGUGGCCAAGAGAAGCUAGUGGAGAUGUGCGCGGACUAUAACCUUUCAAGUCUUAGAAACUCAUGACUAUUAUAACCACAACACUUCUUUAAGAUUUUUUUUUAAGUCCUACAUUUACAACUUAUCAUCUCGUUAACAAUGCGUUCAUCCAUUUGUCAACAAAGUGCUCAUCCAUUUAUUAGCACGUAUAUAUAAUGUUAUAAAAAAUCUUAUGCGCUUCUUUUGGAUAGAUUAAUGAUGCUCCGUUUAUCCCUUUAUAAAGUCAAUUGGCAUUCACAAAUAAGCAUGUUCCCAUAGACUAAACAGACAAUUUCAAGAAUUACUGUUUAAAAAAAGGAUAGCACUAUUUAUACUCUAAAAAUUAUCAUGAUAAUUUUACUAUCCCAUACACUAAUAUACUAAUGUCAAAUAAUUAAGUUUACUUGAGUACAUUUGAAUCCACCAAAUUAAAUUCAAAUCUCUUUACUUAUUAAACCCUUGUUAAAAUUUCAAAUUUUAUAUUAUACUUUAUAAAUCCAUCUUAAUGCCCAAUAUACCCUUGAAACUAAUUCAUGAUUUUCUGCAACUUUUUUUUUUCUCUUCUUGUUCUUCUUCCAUCUUUCCAACCUUAAGCUGUUCAAUACCAAAACUAAUGAUGGCCAACGCACGGCACAACCCGUCAAGCAUCGACCCACUAGGGCCUGUGGGUCGUGACCACUUUUUUUAAUAUGGGCCAGGCACGACCCACAUCAUUUUUUUUCCCUUUAAGCGCACAUGUCCAGCGUACCCAAAAAAACCCACGUGCCUACGGGCUUUAUUCAAUCACAUGCCUGAAGUGUUUUUUUAAUCCCAUCAGCCUAAUAAUAAUAAUAAUAAUAAUAAUUUUAUAGAUCAUAGUAAUGAUUAAUGAAAAAUAAAUUUACAAUCCUAGAAUAACAAUUACACCUAAUUUUAUUUGAACUACUAAUAUUAUAAUUGCACUUGAACUCCAUUGAAUGAAAAUAUAAUUUUUCAUUUAUCAUAAAAAUAUUUCGUUCCUAAUUUUUUUAUAUGUAUAAAUAUGAAAAAUAUUUCAUUCACAAAUGAAACAUAUCUCCAUUAACUAUUAACUAAGUUAUGAUUUCAUAAAUGAAAUAUUAAUGUCGUAAAAUUUUUUAUUUAUCAUUUAUAAAAUCAUGAUAUUUAUAAUUUUAUUUAUUAAAAUCAGGAUAUUAAUUUAUGGGAAAAUAUACACCGUCCAUCCGUUUUUUCCAACUUUUUCAAAAAUGCACAAUUCCUUUUUUUUUUUUGCUGGAAUCCACCCAGAGUUACAUUUUGUUUCACUUUUCCACUUCCAUUUGGAAUCCGUUAAGAAAACUAAUGGAAACUUUAAAAAAAUAACCAUUUUACCCCCAAAAUGAAAAUUACAAUUUCACCUUAAAAAAUGCCAAAAAUAAUCAGAUUUAAUNNNNNNNNNNNNNNNNNNNNNNNNNNNNNNNNNNNNNNNNNNNNNNNNNNNNNNNNNNNNNNNNNNNNNNNNNNNNNNNNNNNNNNNNNNNNNNNNNNNNAAACUCUACUUAUUUUAAAUUCAAUUGAUAGUUUGUGAAAUUGGGCUAUUUUUAAUACUAUUAUUAUAAUUUAGCAUUCUAAUUACAGACAUAUUUUUUUUAAAAAAAACCUGCAUUUGAUGGUUGUGGAAUUAAUUUAUUUAUUAACCGAUGGGGAAAAUAUUUAGAUUUAAUUUGAUUAUUUUUGGUAAUUUUUAGGGUGAAAUUGUUAUUUUCGUUUUGGGGGGUAAAAUGGUCAUUUUUUAAAGUUUCCGUUAGUUUUCUUAACGGAUUCCAAACGGAAGUGGAAAAGUGAAACAAAAUGUAACUUUAGGUGGAUUCCAACAAAAAAAAAGAAUUGUGUAUUUUUGAAAAAAUUAAAAAAAACGGGUGGACGGUGGAUAUUUUCCCUUAAUUUAUCCAUUAAAAAAUCCUUUGCUAUAUUAAAGGUACAAUUGAUUUUGGCUUCUUAUACUCAUUUUUCAAUGACUACGAGCUUGUUAUAUAUAACGAUAGCGAUUGGGGUAGAGAUACAAAUGAUCAAAAGAACAUUACAGGAUUCGUGUUUUUUAUGGCAGACACUGCUUUCACAUGGAUGUCAAAUAAGUAGCCAAUUGUCAUACUUUCCACCUAUCAAAAUAAGUAUGUAGCUACCACAUCAUCUGUUUGUCAUGCAAUUGAAAUGCAAGUUAUGCAACCCAAGAGGGGGGGGGUGAAUUGGGAUUUUAAAAUUUAUGCAAUACAAUUCGCACAAUAAUUUAAUCUAUUGCCUUAAUAAAAUGAAACAAUAAAUUCAAUCAAGCACAAUAUUAAAAGAGUAAGGGAAGAGAAAACAAACACAAGGAUUUUUACGUGGUUCGGCUAUCCCUGCCUACGUCCACGCCUCAAAGCUCACCCGGCUUGAGGAUUUCACUAUCCAAGCCUCCAAGGCUUCAAAUGUUUACAAUUGACUUCCAAGGUGUCAAUGGACCUUUACAAUCAAGAGAUUUUCUCCCCAAUCUCUUCACCCCAAGUGUUUCCCACACUUAUACACUCACAAUUUGAUAAGAAAUGAAAAUUACAACAAAAACUCUCUCUAAGAGUGGAUAUGCAAAUAAUAGCUCAACAAUGAUUCAAUCUAUGAUGAUUUGCGUUUUGGAAGCUCAAUAUUGAAAUAUAAGUGUGCAACCCAAGAGGGGGGGUGAAUUGGAAAUUUAAAAAUUAUCCUAGCAAAUCCACACAACAAGCAAUCUAAUGUCUUAAUAAAAAUUGAAAGCAAUAAGUUCAAGAAAAGCACAAUAAUUAAAGAGUAAGGGAGAAGAGAAACAAACACACGAAUUUUUACGUGGUUCGGCAAUCCCCGCCUACGUCCACGCCUCCAAGCGAUCCAAGCUUGAGGAUUUCACUAUCCAAGCCUUUCCAAGGCUCAACGAUUACAAUUGACUUCGAGGUGUCAAUAAACCUUUACAACAAAGAGAUUAUCUCCUAAUCUCUUUACUCAAGUGUCUCACACACUCAAACUCUUACAAUUGAGAUGAAUAAAUGAAGGUUACAAUGAAACUCACUCAAUGAGUAGAUAUUCAAAAAUGAAGAACAAGAAAUGAUUCAAUAUUUGUAUUUCGCAAGUUUGAAGGCUCAAGAUAUCACGUGUACUUUUUGUUUUUGCUUGUUGGAGAGCUUCAAAAUGAGUUGGAUUUGAGUUCUUAUAGUUUGAGCUCAAAAACUAGCCGUUACUCACAUUAUGGGCGUAUCCGGUUUACCGUUUAUGGACUCUGGUAAGCCGGAUUUAUGUUAUCGUUAAGGCAAAAAUUUGAAUUUUGCCUAUCCGGCUUGCCAGUUACAAAAUCCGGUAAACCAUUUUCAUUCUGGAUGCUUACUGCCCCGUAUCCGGUUUUCCAGUUUUUAUAUCCGGUAAGCCCGCUUGCUACAGUAAAUUUUCAGUUUGACCCCAAAACUUUAUAAAACUGUAGUAUGACCCAAAACGUUAUGAAACUUUACAAAUAGGUCCAAUUUCAGAAUUUCUAAGUAAUGCUUCGUUAAUCCCAAAACUUUUUGAAAUUAUGAUUUCGCUCAAACUUUGUGAAAUUAUAGAAUAACCCAAAAAUAUUUAAAUAGUUUCAAAUAGGUCCAAAUCCGAAAUUUAAAAUGCUAUCAAAGAGUUUAAAAUUACUUUCAUUUUAGUCCAAAAUGCUUUAAUUCCAUAACAUCAUUUUCUUAUUACAAAAGCACAAUUCAUAAAUCUUUACUUAAUAAAUACAUGUGGUUUGUUAUCAUCAAAAUCAAUAUUUAUAGCCAUAUCGGCUAACAAAUAUAUGUUGUAUGAUCUUAUAUUUGCUUGCAUUAGUUCUUACAAUGAAGUUUGAGUUGAGUUUUUAUAGUGAAAGACCGAAAACUAGCCGUUAUAGGAAAAUUUCCGUGCCCAAGCGGUUAGUCGCUUGAUUAUCCAGCUAGCCGCUCAGGAACAGUGAUAUUACCGUUAUUUUUGAAUUUUGCUACAGUAACACUAUUCACUAAAAUUACACUUUGACCGAAAACUUUCUAUAAUUAUACGAUGACCCAAAAAGUCAUAAAACUUUGUAAAUAGGUCCAAUUUUAGAUCUUCCUAAAAAUAGUUGUUUUUCCCAAACUUUCUGAAAUUAUGAUAUGGCCCCAAAGAUUUUAUUAUUUCGCACAAAGGUCAUUUUCAACAUAAUACCCAUAUUUUUCAAAGUUCUCAAAACCUUUCACUUUAGUCCAAAAUAUUUAUAAAUUAUAGUAUGGCCCAAAACAUUUCAAAUGUUUGUAAAAACAUCCAACUCCGAAAUUUAAUACUUAUUUAAAAUCAAAGAUUUAAAAUCUUAGCAUUUAAGUCCAAAUUACUUAAAUCCACAACAUACUUUACUUUAUAAAAAUAAAACCUUUUAGUUAAUGAAAAGUAUUUAAUUAAAUUAAUCUCUUGAGCUUCUCAAAUGCUAAAUCAUGCAUCAAUUAAAUCAUACCGGCUUUACAAGAAUUUAUCGCACUAAUUUGUUCGUUGAGCUCUAAACUAUAUUCUUGAUGUCGCCGUUGUCCGUUGAGUGUCUUCAAUCUUAAUUUCACUUGAUUCACUUGCAUAAAUAUUAUCCUUAAAAAACUAGUGAAAAUGUGAAAUACAAUAUUUAUUAUUUAUACUUAAGACACAUGUUUGUUAUCAUCAAAAUUACAUUAUGUGUAGCCUUUUAGGCUAACAACAAUUUGGCUAAAGAAUUUGUUGAAGGAGUUGAGUUUGCCGCAAAGAAAGCCAAUCAAAAUUUGUAUCAAUAAAAAGUCAACAAUUGCACUAUCCAAGAAUCCAAUUUUUCAUGAUCGAAGUAUGCAUAUCGACACUCACUAUCAUCUCAUAGUUGAAUACAUUGAAAGAAAAAAAGUACAAGAAAAGUAUGUCAUAUCACAUUAUUACAUUACUGAUAUCUUACCAAGCUGCUACAGUAAGAAGACUUCAUUAGGUUGAGAACACUACUUGGCAUUGUAAAAUAAGUCUUAGAGGGAGAGUUAUGAAAACAAAUUUGUCUUANNNNNNNNNNNNNNNNNNNNNNNNNNNNNNNNNNNNNNNNNNNNNNNNNNNNNNNNNNNNNNNNNNNNNNNNNNNNNNNNNNNNNNNNNNNNNNNNNNNNNNNNNNNNNNNNNNNNNNNNNNNNNNNNNNNNNNNNNNNNNNNNNNNNNNNNNNNNNNNNNNNNNNNNNNNNNNNNNNNNNNNNNNNNNNNNNNNNNNNNNNNNNNNNNNNNNNNNNGUGUCACAAAAAUAAGAGAUCAAAUUUAAAGAAGAAAAAGAAGCAAGCUUCUAAGUGUUUGUGAAAGUUGAGUGUUUUAGAGCUUUCAUUAAUAAAAGUGGGUAUGUUUAAUCUUUCAAGUUCUCCAAUACCUAAUUGGGCAAGAAUUUUACUUCUUUUGUGCCCAAGAUGACAAAUUAAUUGAGUUAUUAAAGGCAUCCACUAGAGGUUUUCAAGCAACUUUAUUAAGGUGUAGAAAAGUCAUUAAAUUGUGAAGUUUAAUAGUAUAAUACCAUUGCGUUGUGACUUAAUAGCUUUUUCAAACUUUAACAAAUCCGAAAUUCUCUCUCUCACUCAUAUAUAUAUAUAUAUAUAUAGAAAUGCUCCAAUUUAGAAUUUUAAAAUACAGGAAAGUCCGAAAAAGUUUUAAAACCCUGCGGCUUUAAAAUGUUAAUUUUAUAAUAUUUUAAAAUUAUGCGAUUUUAAAUUUUUUUUGGAUUUUCCUGCAAUUUAAAAUUAUGGACCAGAAAACUACUAUGUGUGUGUGUGUAUGUAAAAAUCAAACAAAUUUAGAGAUUGUCGAUCCAAAGAUGAGAGCAUGUAAUUUACUUAUUAAUUCUAUAAUAGUAUUUUAUGUUAGAGGCAAUUUAAUAAUUUUCUUUUUUUAACCUAAAAAGUGGGUCAAGUGAGUAUUAUGAGGAUUCAAAUAAUUUAUCAUUAAGUUUUAUUUUGUACACUCUUUAGGGUUCUGAAAAAAUCUUUACUUAAACCAUCGAAAUUUUUAUGCAAUAAGAUAUUAGAAACAUACGGAAAUAUGACUUCCAUAAACUACUUAAAAUUUUCUUAAUUUAGCCGGCUUUAACGCACUUAUUAAUAUUCCGCUGUCUUGCAUCCUCAUUCUACAUUCGUUGGAAUGAUUUUCCUACCAAUGAGUCAACAAUGCCCUCACUCCUCGACAAGUUUGAAAAAAAAAAAUUGAAGCUCUUCAACNNNNNNNNNNNNNNNNNNNNNNNNNNNNNNNNNNNNNNNNNNNNNNNNNNNNNNNNNNNNNNNNNNNNNNNNNNNNNNNNNNNNNNNNNNNNNNNNNNNNNNNNNNNNNNNNNNNNNNNNNNNNNNNNNNNNCUGACUAAUGAGACUAGCCGACAAUUUUCCUCCCGAGGAAUUAUAUUGAUAACAUUUCAACUGAUUGUUGAUGAUGCUAAUUAAAGUUAUUGAAAUUUAAAGAUAUUAUCAGCUGUUGAUUUGAAUAUUACUCCAAUAUAGAAAAUGCUACAAAAAUUUAAAUUAAUUCAAUUUUGCGCCAACUGUAUAAAAUCUGUAUCAUCCAUCAAUGUUAUAUCCAUUGGGAAAAAGAAAAUCAAUUUUCCACCUAAUAAUUGCAAAUAGUAUCAAUUUCCACCCUUGAGUCUUGACUAAAGAAUACGACCUGUUUUUAUUUUUUUGCCUGUUUUUAUUGUCCUUUCACUUUCUUUAAUUUUUGUGCUUUAUGGAUUUGUUUGGCACACUUUUUGCAUUAAUUGUAUUGUGUUACGAUGUAUUGCAUUAGGAUAUCUACAUUGCAAUAUUAUGUUUGGCGCAACAUAGACAAUAUUAUGAUAAUAAUAUUAUUUUUAUAUUGAUGCCAAAAUUAAAUUAAUAUUAUUUAAAUUUAUUAAUAUUUUAGGAUUCCAUUAUUAAUUAUUGAAAUUAAGUAUUAAAUAAUUAUUUUUAUAUAUUAAUUUUAUAAUAAACAUGAUUUAAUCAUAUACUAUGAUUAAAUAAUAAAACACUACAAUACUAUGUUAUAAUAUUAAUAAUAUUAUAUUAUAAUCUAAUUUAUCUCUAUAUAUUAGUUAUUGGAAUAUAGUAUAAUCAUAUUAUAAUGUAGUAAAAUUUAAUAUUAUAUUUAAAAGUAUAAUACUAUAUAAUUACAUAAUAUAAAUUAAAUUAAAUUAUAUUAUAUUUAUAAAACAAUAUGAUAUUAAGUUAUAAAUUAAUUUUUAUUGAAUAAUAAAUGAUAAAAUAAAAUUAAAAUACUUUUUUCAUAUUUAAAGUAAAUAAUUAAAAUGAUUAUAUUUAAUGAAAUAAAAUAAUGUAUAAUCAUUUAUUAAUUAAAUAUUUAGUGUGUUACUAUCUUUUAUUAUUAAUUAAAUUAAAUUUUUAUUUAAAUAUAAAUUAAUAUAUAAUAAAUUUAAAUUUCCUAUAAUUCAUUAAAUAAUAAAAGUUAUAUGAUUAUAAUUAAAAUAUAAACAAUGUUUGAAUAUAAUACAACUGAAACCCUACCACCGUCUCCCCUGCGAAUCUAUUUUAUACACCUUUUCUUAUAUUAGCCAACUUUUAAAUGUAGUGCAAUGCAACUAAAAAUUUUAACCAAGCAUGAGUUAGCAUAAGAGUAGUGUUUUAAUGCAAUUGCAAUACAAUGUAAUGCGAGUUGCCAAAUGUAUCACAAAUUAUAAUGUGACACAAAAUGAAAGUGAUGGAAGACUUAUAUCCUUCUCAAAGAGAACAUUAUUAAUAAUUAAAAAAACUGAUAUAAAUGGAGUUUUAAUACCUUUUAUAUUUAAAUCCAAAAUAACGUAAAUUUAUCAAAAUAGGUAAAAUCAAGUUAUUUUUACAUAUUACAUGCACUAAAAUAAAUAUAAAACACUGACUUCCAAAAAAAAAAAAAGCAAAAUUGAGCUAAACUAAUAAAACUAAAAUGUAUGUAUAUUUCUUAAUAAUAUUACGCUAAACUAGUUUUCCAGAAAAAAAAUUCUUUUAUAAAAAUUUUUUAUAAAUGUUAAUUUUAAAUAAUAAAAUUAUUGAAGUAAUUGAUUUUUUUUAUGUAUUUAUAUGGGGGUGAAAAAGAAAUUUUUGAAUUUCAAUAUCAAUAAGGGUAAAAAAAAAGACCAGUUUAGAAAAUGAGAUUUUUAUUCCACAUUCUCAUUUUGAGUGGUCCUAUAAAAUUGAUUCUUAUUAUGGAUUGUAUUUUCUGAAAAAUAAACAAGAAUGUGACUGAUAAACAAGCACACCAUCAGUUCAAUUCCGUCGAUAUCCCUUCUUAUUUAAAUACCAUUCUUAUUUUUUCAAAAAAUUAAAAAAAAAAUAGAAGACUUCCGAUUUCAAGGGCAAAGUUUGCAAUAAAGUUGACAUAUUAAUUUUGCAACAAAACAACAAAUCUACCACUCACCUCUUGCUAAUGGUAAUAGCAAUCAUAAUCUGGCAACAUUUUAUUGGAGGGAUAUUAUAUACAUAGAUUAGAAAUGGGAUGUCGAGAAUAUUUUUGCUUCUAAUAGAAAAGGGAAAAUAAGGGGAAAAAGAAAAAAAAUAAACUGCAUAUAAGAAGUUGGAGACUUCCGAUUUCAAGGGCAAAGUUUGCAAUAAAGUUGACAUAUUAAUUUUGCAACAAAACAACAAAUCUACCACUCACCACUUGCUAAUGGUAAUAGCAAUCAUAAUCUGGCAACAUUUUAUUGGAGGGAUAUUAUAUACAUAGAUUAGAAAUGGGAUGUCGAGAAUAUUUUUGCUUCUAACAGAAAAGGGAAAAUAAGGGAAAAAAGAAAAAAAAUAAACUGCAUAUAAGAAGUUGGAGACUUCCGAUUUCAGGGCAAAGUUUGCAAUAAAGUUGACAUAUUAAUUUUGCAACAAAACAACAAAUCUACCACUCACCACUUGCUAAUGGUAAUAGCAAUCAUAAUCUGGCAACAUUUUAUUGGAGGGAUAUUAUAUACAUAGAUUAGAAAUGGGAUGUCGAGAAUAUUUUUGCUUCUAAUAGAAAAGGGAAAAUAAGGGGAAAAAGAAAAAAAAUAAACUGCAUAUAAGAAGUUGGAGCAUCCAUGUAUUAUUUAUCUAAGGCGCAACUCCUGAUGACCAAUAUAUUCCGUUUCUUGUUCGUGUAUAGUUUAUGAAAAAGCUUAAUGUAUGCUUUUCAAACAAAUAAUAAAUAAAUAUAAUGUGCCAUGAGAAUUUGGAUUAUAAAUCACCGUAACCAUAACAGCACCCAGUGAAAGCUGAUAGAAGCCUCCAUUACGCCUUUGUUUUACUCUGGAGGCUUGUAUCAGCUGGAACUUUCUUUGCAAAUAUUCUUGGAAAGACAAGCUGAGCCACCUUAAGAGCCUCAAUUUCAAAGUCUUGCUAACAUCUCACUACACAAGAAGAAAGAAUUAAUAUGUGCUUAGAUAAAAAAUUAGCAUAAGCUUAAAGGUUUUAAAUAACUAGUUACCUUGUAGCCUCCACCAAGACUGCUCUUAUGGUUUUCAAUGGAAAAACAAUUUCUGGCAUAAGCAUAUCUGCAUUUUCACCUGACACAAAUGUAGAUCAAAGUACCCUCACCUUAAUUCCCAACCCUCGAAUUUCACUCGUUUCCUUUUCAAAUUUCCAUUAUUCGAAAAAGGGGGAAACAGACGCAAACCUUUACCGAGGGGUUUAGGCUUGGAUCCCUCGAGUAGCUUGCUAACAACUGACCCAUCAACUCCAGCGCUAUAAGCAAUCGCGCUCACCAGCAUCUGCAGAUGCAGGCUCAACCAAUCAGAAGGCUCUGAAAAACUAGACAUUUUGUUACCAAUAUUCUCUACCAUGAUUCACUCUUGAGAUACAUAAAAGAUAAGGCUCAUGCCCCAUAACGAAAACCACGCAUGCAUUUUGUGAAGUAUAUGUCACUUUUCACCUUUCAACGAGGAAUAAUCUUAGCAGCCCUCUGCCUUUAGACAGAUAGACAAUAAGAGCUUUUAGAAAUAUCACAUACAUAAUUAAAAAGAAGAAUAAAGAAAACCUCAAGAGCAUAUUGGAUAGCUUGAACACCAAUCUUCUGACCAUGGUUAGCAGUUUGCAAUUUAUCCAACUCCUUGCAGGCAUAUAAAAGUGACAUCACACUAACUGCAAAUGCAUCAGAAUACAUAUAACAUUUGUAUGUCAUGCAUCAAUCAAACAAGAUAGACCAACAAAAGCCAAAAAUAUAAGAGGUUUACCAACUCCUUCCUUUGCAGCCUUGACAGCAUUUAUGGCAUUAGCAACUCUAUCCUUCUUUUCACGCACUUCAGCUUUAUUACUUCCACAGACCUUACAACAACAGCACCCGUUUCAUUUCAAAUCAGAAUACUUCCUUACCUAACAUCUCUAAUUCAACAAUCUUUCAUCUCAACGAGCCAAAUUUCAUUUAUAGCAUGAUGCAACAACAGAAUAAGAUGCAGUCAUGUCUUCUAAAUGCAAUUACUGUAACCAAACAAGCAAAUUGAAUUCAUCUUUGGCACGUUCCUAUUAGCAAGGAAUAUAUACUUCUACCAAAAUCCAGUUCCAAAACUUCACAUAUAUUAUAAUGUCUAAUUGACUGUUUGGUACUGUUUUUCUUCUCUUUUUCCCAUUUUAAAGUAUCAAAGUAUUUGUACGGUAUCAGUCUACUCUAUACUUCAAUUAUAAUCAUAUGAAGAUGGGAAUGUAAUAUGAAUCCAAAGAAUUAGUCAAUUAAUUAAAUCAUUUUAUCCAAAAUGACCUGAUCAUUGAUCCUCCCUAUAAAUGAGUUUAUUCAACUUUUUUAAUAGCAGAUAAAAGAAAAUUCAAAUUUCUUGGCUGGCCAACCAGGAUUUAGAGUUUAGACCUGGUCAUGACUUGGCCCAAAUGGAUCGUGCUAAUAGGUCAUGUUAGGCUGAGAACUUUCAUUCUAUGCCCAGCACAAGUCAGUUUCAAAGCUCUUGAAGAACUAAUUUACAAUUCCAAAUAACCAAACCUUUAUAACAGCAGCGAGAUAAGAGUGCUUUGUACAGCUCUCUUCAGGGAAAUCUUGUAAAUUUUCCAUUGUGAAUCUCCACUGUAACAACUGCAACAGACAUAUUUAAGAAAAGAAAAUUAGCGAAAGGGUAAGCAAGUUGUCCAAAAAUAUAGAAACAGCCCAAAGAAGCACAAAAGAGCCAAACCGUAUAAACUGAAAAGCAGAGUCGCUUCAAAUUAUAAACACAAUUGAAAAUUCUGAUAACUUGUUGGAAAAUCAUGUGAAAUGUCACAACACAGACCUUUUCAUGUCCUAUGCAAGCCUUACAAAGAAGGAUAACCGUCUGAUCCUUUGAUACCGUUAUCUACAAUGAUAAAAGAGGGCUAAGACAUUGUUUGAGCAAAACCUCGUCUCUCUUGUCAAUAUACACAAGGAAAUGAAAAUUAAUAUAUUACUAUGCCAAAGUUGUACCAGAAGAAAGGAUUAAAGUCCACCAGAAACAAGGAUGAGAAGAACGUUCUCAUGAUGUGCUCUACUUAGGUAAAAUAAAUCUUUUUUUCACACCAAAGAAAAUUAUAUACCAGUCACUGAUAUCUGAUAUCUCUCACCUUCUCAGCAUGGCCAAGAGAUACGCAUUCAAAAUCUUUUCCUGUCAUGACCUAAAAGAGAAAGAAAGGAACACAUUGUUUUGUAAAUCACAUAAUAAUCAUGCAAAGCAAGGUGGAGCAUUUAUCAAAUGAACCAACCUUCCCAUACGUGAAUUUGGCAAUGUCCCGAAGGCUAGCCUUCCUACUUUCUCCAAAUCCAGGAGGUUUUAUGACACAAGCCUUCAAGCAAUUCAGAACCCACAAAAAAUGAGAAGACAUAUGAAACUUCACUUUGUAAAAUUAAAUGAAUAAUUGAAUGAUAGAAGAUUCUUCAAGUAGGCCAUCUCUUAACAGCAAAACACUGUCAAGUAUAAGUUCACCUUGGUUGCUGUAGCCACUCCAUUUAAGACAAGACUUGCUAGGAGAUCAUUUUCAAUAUCUUCAGCAAUGAUCAGUACAUCUGUGCCAUUAUAUCUUCUAACUGGUCCAAUCUCUGUCAAUAAGUCAAAGAAGACGCAGUUCGAAACCUUUUUCUCAAGGAUCAUGAUAUAAGGAUCUCGUAAAACCUAGUAAAAAUGAAAUCACUAGUUGAUUAAUAACAAGGCUGAUCCAAAGUUAUAUCUUCAAGGUAAGAACUAAGCAAUCUCAAUUACUUCAUUGUCAAUAUAUCUAUCCUUUAUAGAAUCACAAAUUUCUCAUAAAACGUCAAUUAAUUUAUUGAUAUCUCAAAAUGCUUACACAUUCUUUCGUCUUAUGAUUGGUGAUGAAGUAAGGUGACAAAUAGCCCCUGUCUAGGGUCAUUCCCCAAUACAACUGAAGUUCAAUACUGGGUGGUGUUUUCCGAUCCUGCAAUAGUAGUGAGGCAGUAGAAAAUAAACAUAAAACAGUAGAGGAAACAAAAUGGAAGGUUCUGAAACAUAACAACCGAAUCAGAGGCACAGCAGAUAAGAAAAAAGUAAAGACGAUAAAAAAUUCAAGAAGCAACUUACAGCUAACACAUGAAGAUUGUUUCCCCAACCUUUCUCAAAAGCCUUGGCUAUGAGCUCGCCAAUCACUCUGUCACCAUUUGCUGCAGCCGUUCCAAACUUCAAUUUAAAAUGGGAAAAAAAGCGCGUCAAAAUGAAAUAUAUUUCUGUGGAUUAUCAUUAAAUUGAGCAAGAGUCUAAAGUGAGAAAGAAAACCAGGGCUAUUUGUUCGAAUGAUGUGAUGGGUUGUGCUGUGCUGUAUAAAUUUCCCACAAGUGCAUCAAUUGCCAUUCUAGCCCCUUGUCUUUGGUCUGGCACUUCCGCAUCCUCCCGCAUAUAAAAUUCUCCCUUUUAACUUUAGAAUUGGUGCCUGCAGACAGAAGAUAGAUGUCAAUUGAAUUUGAUCAGAUGAUCUGUAUCCAUUAAUUAACUCCAUUCCCAUUCACAGCAAAUCUAAUUUCUUAAUUAAGAAAAUCCAGAAGAUGUUUCACAAUCCAAAAAUCUUUUAGUGACUUCCGCCGCGGUAUACUGUCUGCUCCGAGUUAAAUGAACCUGACACAGAAUUAAAUUCAACGAAAUUAACUCAACGAAAUUAAUCAAUUGAACUGAAUAAGCCAAGCCAGAAUUAGUUAUUAUUAUUUGAAAAAAGGAAACAAAAAACACUAAUAAAUGAAUGAAUGAAUCAUCACCGGCUGAAAAUUGUUAUCAAGCAACCUACAAAAUCAAAUUAACUAACAUAAACAAAAUGAGAGAAGUGGAAGGAAAACAAAGUAAACAAAAUAAAAAUUUGGUAAACUGUGAAGGAGAAGUGCACCUGACUUUGGAGGCGAGGUUAGAGGCAUGGCGCAACAUCGUUUGUGAUUUUGUUGCGCAGAAAGGACAGAGGAAUUCGAUUGACCAAAACAGAACAGAGACUUAAUGAGACUUAAAAGGCAGUUUUGUUUGGUUGGGUGGGUUUUGUGGGUCCCUUGUGGUGGGAUUGAGUCGGUUAGAAGGUGCGUAUUUAAUGAAUUUUCUAGUUGGACACUCGGACUCGGACUCGGACUCGGACUCGGGGUCUUUCACUUUACUAAUCAAAUAUACCUGAAUGAGAUUGAAAUGAGGAAAUCUUAGUGCCUGCUCGCUCUUUCAAUUCGUCUUUCAAAUUCUCUUUAUUCAGAACCAUUUUAUAUAUUAAACUUAGGACACUUUCCACAUAUAUUCGUAAACAGCUCGAGAUUGCUCAGUUACAUGAAAUAUUCUAUUCAUUUACUCUUUUAUUUUAUUUAUUUAGUGUUUAUUUGGUAUGGCUUAUGUAAUGUUCAUAAGUGCUUAUUUAAUUCCAUAAGCUCUUAUCAUAAUUUUUGUUUUUAUUUGGUUAUUUUUUUUAUAGAAUUUUUAGAGUUUAAAUAAGCUAUUUUGCCUCUACUAACGAAAUCUCAAAUUUUGAGCUUUUGAGAGUAGAGGUUGAAAAGUUUUUUUUAAAAUAUUAAAAUAUCUAAAAUAUUCUCUACUUAUUUGACAUUAUUUUCAUAACAUAACUUAAAAAAACUUGCCUAUUAAAGUAAUUUUAUAAAUUUUUAAUAAAAGCUCUUAUUGACAACCAAACAUCUAAAUUUUUUUAAGUAAAAGCUCUAUUUGUAAAAGCUCUACUAUCAAAAUCUCUACUUGAAAAGUUGUAUCAAACGGAGCCUUAAUACAACUAUCUUUACAUGUAUAGCUUGUGGUUGUUAUUUUAAUUAAAGUACUGUGGAUAGAAAUGAUUAUAAUGGAUUGCUUUGAUAUCUGAGUUGGGAUGUCUUAUCUUGUUUUGAUUUGUAUUGACAUUGUUUGAAUUUGUGUUUUAAUAUGGUUAAUACCACUAAUUUUUAUUUUCUUUCUUUUAAUUUACUUAUUGAUAUCAUGUUUGUGAAAGUUUAUUGUUAAAGUUUACGUUCUCAUUUAUUGAGAAAUAAUGAUUUUUGUAAUUAAAUUUUAUUUUAAUUUUCUAAUAUUCUUUAAUUUAAGGAUAAAGUUAUUGUAAAAUCUAUUAUUUAUAAUUUUUUAUCCACUAUAUUUUUUCAUAUUUUAAUAGUAAUGUAAUAAUUAAUAAAAUUAAUAAUUAUUAUAAUUUUGAUAUAAUUAAAUUUAUCAAAGUAAAAAAUAUUUUGAUUAUAAAAUUCAAACAAAACCCAAAUGAAUUAUUUAGGCUCGGUUAAAAAUAUUUGGGUUGGUUUAGGUCAGGCCCAAAUUUUUAUAAUUUAGUUCGGAUUGUUUUAAAAUCUAACCCAAACCAACUCAUGCCCACCCCUAACUGAUUCCACAUUUGAGUCCAAAGUUCAAUCAAAGUUUGAUCCCUAUUUAGACCAAAAUAGACUACAUGGACAGUCAGAUCCAACGGGACCAGUCCAAUGUGGUUCUCAAAAUUAGAUAUCAAAUUAAGUAAAUAACACUAAGCGCCCAUCUAUUUUGUCUAAACAUUACACCAUGCAUACAUUAGUAUUAAAAUCUAAUGAAAAAGAAAUCACGAUCAACCAUUUGUUUUGGUUUUAGUUUAACAGGCUUAGAUUAUCAUUUUAGUCUCGCUACAUUUCGAGAAUGUAUUAUAAUCACGUAAAUUUAAAUCCCGAAUAUAGUUGGCUUAACCAUUGCAAUGGAAGCAAGAAGUCACGAGUGCAAUUCUAAGGGUAUACAUUUAAUUUGAUGAUGAGGAGGGGUAAGAGUGAAAUGUAACUUAAAAACUCUCGAUGAAACUUCUGAAUAUUACAUAAAUAUAUUGUAAUAUGAGCUUAUAAAAUCUGAACGUCUGUACUUUAAAAGGAUGUGUGCAUUCUUAUAAGAGGACUACUUUCUGAAGAUGCAACAAUUAUUUUCACAUCUCAUUGUCGUUAAAGCUGACUUGAAAACUCAUGAAUUAUUCCUUCUAAAAAAAUAAAUGAAUGAAUUGCUAGUUAAACAACUUUUGAGCUUAUAAUUUUCAAGUACUGCUUUUUUCUUUUUUGGUCUUUCACCCUUUAAAAAAAAAAUUAGUAUUUCAUUCAUCUCCUUCCCACAAGAUUAAAAUCAGAGCUUAGAGAAAAAUCAUGUAUUUUUGCCAACUUAAAUUUGAGCGCGCAUUAAAGACGCUAGCUAAAACGUGCACAACCAUGGAUGUUGUUGCCAUGUGAAUUCAAUGACUGUAGUAGCGCAAUUGUGUAGUGGCUGAUUGAAGGUUUUCGUAUUGAGGUUUGUUUAGGUCAUUAGUGAUAUUCAUCUGCUGAUGGAACGAAUGAGUGCUUUUUGAGUUCAACCUGUCUCUUGAAAUUGCAAAGUAUCAACUCAAAAGCUAGCAGAAUUUGCAAAAGUCGUCUAGUCGGUGGUGGAAUUAAGAUUUUAAUUUAGGGGUUGCGAAAAUAUGAAGAAAAUUGAGAGUUGCCUUGAAACAUAUAUUGGGGAUCAUUUUGAAAACUUUUUAGUUUUCACAUUAUUUUUUAAAAAUAAAUUUUGAAACCUUGGCAACCCUUGCUAGGCGUGAAUGUAGUUCCGCCUCGACGACUAGUGUUGUAGUUCGGCUGGAAAAUGUUUUAGUAGAACUUUAUACUCUUUUGUCAUGAGAUUAAUGCAAUUUUUAUGCUCAAUAAAAAAAUAAAAAUAUGCUUUAUGAAAACUAUUUAAAAUUUUUCUCCAUUUAACUGGCUCUAGGGAUGGCAAUUGUGUCUACAAACCCGCCCAAAUCCACCCGCCAAAACCCGUCUGCUUCGGAUAAUUUUGUGGGUUGCGGGUGGGUUUGGUAUUACAAAUUGAAACCCGCAUUUGGAUGCGGGUGGAUUUGGUAUUAGCCCAAUAUCCAGCGAAUACCCACAUGGAUAUCCGCUAGACUCGCAAUAUUUUUUAAAUAUUUUUAAUUGAAAAAUAUUUAAAUAUUUAAUAUAUAAAGAAAAUAAUGCAAUUAUGCAAAGCGCCAAAUAACCAAAGUAUAAACAAGUUUAGUGUGUAUAACAAUGCAAAGUGCCAAAUAACCAAAAUGUUUUUGUAUGGACUAUUUUUCUUUAACUUAAUGCAUGAAUUAGUUCAUUAUAUAAGUUUUUUCGGAUUAGUAUUUGAAAAAUAUUAUUUUUUGGAAAAUAUUAAUCUUAAUCAUUAUUGUAGGCAUCAUGUUGGAUGGUUGCUAAUGAUGGUGAAUGAAAUGAACAUCUUUCUUGGAGCUUGUGUUGAAUGAUAAUAUGAGAUGUAAUUGUUAUUUUUAGAUAUUAGUUUGUCGUUUUUUUUAAUGGAUUUGUGUAUUUUAUACUUAAAAUUUAAAAUUUUGUGUUGGAUUGAUGUUGAAAUUUUAAUUUUUCAUUUAUAUUAGUUAAAUUUAAAAUUGAAUAUGUUAUGUGGAAUUUGAGGUUAUUAUUGUAAAUUUAUAUAUUCAACAUUUGUGAUUUUAAAUAUAAAAAUUCCCCAAAAAAUCCGCCGGAUACCAAUGCGGGUUUGGUAAUUGUCAAAAUCCUUAGCGGGUGGGUUUUCUUAAAAAAAUUAAAACCCGCUAUGGGUUGCAGGUGGGUUUGGUAAUUUAAAUUUUGUGUGGGUUUGGCUUUGAUAAUGACAAACCCGCCGCGGGCGGUGCCAAUUGCCAUCCCUAACCGGCUCUAACAUAUUUUUUAAUAUUCUUGAUACCUUGCAUCGUCGUUCUAUGUUUUCUUGAAUGGUUUUCCUAUUAACGAUUCAACAUCAUUUUUCAGUCCUAGCCAAGUCUAAAAAAAUAAGAGUGGUAAUAGACUCCUAUUAUCUCAAAGUUUAUUCUAAAUAACAUGUCAUUCAUUAAAUUUCAUAAUUUCUUAUCAAAUUUAAGUAAAUUAAUUGUAAUAUCUCACCAAUCAAUUUGAUGAAUGUCAUAUCAUUUAUGAUAAAAAUUUUGAGAUGUGUAACACUACUCAAUAAAUAAAUUUGGUGUUCUUCAACUAUUAAUAAUUGUAGUUAUAACAAUUUUGUGCAAAUACCAACACUAACCCUACUCAUUAUUGCUGAAACUCGAGUGAUUACACACAAACCACAACUUAUUCAAUUUAAUUAAUAAGAAAACUACUUAAAUAUUCAAAAUUAAGAGUGAAAGCGAGUGACAUUGAGCAAGAAGUUGCCGUUAUUAAUGAGACUGAUUGACAAUUUUCAUCCUUCGGAAUUUUAUUGAUAACGUUACCAUAAAUUUUAGAAGUUGAUAAUUAAAGUUAUUACAAUUAAAUAAUUACAACUACUUCAUGUCUUAAUGAUUAAUGAGUUUGUACUUUUAUGCAAAGUCUCCUUUAUGCAACUCACCAUCGGGUGAAUCACGAAUGCGUUCCAAUUUGGUGGCGUGCUUGAUUAAUUUGUCCUUUAAUACAUGCCCAAAAGCUGUGUAUGCAGCUAGCUUUUACAAUUUCUAUCUUCUUCGUUCUUUAAUUUUAUUUCGUAGGAACUGCGUCUUGUACUUCAGUAAGAACAACUUCUUUAAUUUAAUUUAAAAAUAAAACUAUUUGAGUAUUUUCUUUUUUUCACAAAAAAAAAAGAAAAAAAUUUCAAUCAUCGGAGAGGCAACCCAAACAUCGUCUAUUUAGUCGCUAGUCAAUAAGUUAACCAAGGGCGGACCCAAAGCUUUAUAUUAUCUUGGGCUAAAUUAAAAAUUAAUAUUUUAUUAUGACCAUAAAAUUUCAUAAGUAGAAAGAAGUAUAUUAAAUAAAAUGGGACAUAAAGUACCUUAUUCUAUGAAUACAUACUCUAAAAAAUUAAUUAUAAAAAAUAAUUGAAAAUAAAGAUAAUUCAAAUAUAAAAGUAUUAUUCUUUAAUUAUGAAAUCUAACAUUGCAACCUAGGAUAACAUGUAAUUUUAUUUUUUUUUUAAUGAAGGAUAAGAUGUAAUUAAUCUAACUUUAGAUGGGAUUCUGUUGUUUGCACGGCAAGAGCAAAUCCAGGCCGAUCUAAUAAAGUGGUAGAACAUGCUGGUGAUGAUCAAGCCAAUUGUGUAGUGGCUCAUGAACUUAUUAAUUGUGUCUCUAGCUCUCGUACUGAGGUUUUUUGGGUCAUUAGUGAUAUUUAUGGGCUGAUGGAAUGAAUAGAGAUGUUCCUUGAGUUCACAAUGUCUCUUGAAUCCGCUCACAUGCUAGCAAAAAUUUAAAAUUGACCCAAGUCUUCUAAUCAGUGGCAGAACCAGGAUUUUAAUUGGAUGUUGAAAAAAAAAAAAUUAGCAUAGAUGUUUUAUGUCGUGAUUCAACCUCAAACAAAUACAAGUGCAAUAAAUAAUUUUUUUCUUUUAUAUUUUUGAAAAAAAAACAUGAUCAGAUGCAUGAUUAUCUACCUAAUUCAAGGAGCACAAAUACAUGUACAAUGAAGAUUUUUUUCUUUUAUAUUUAAAAAAAAAACAUGAUCAAAUACAUGAUUAUCUAUCUAAUUUAAGGAGCACAAAUCAAAACAAGCAUAAUCGUUUGGCAAAAAGAAAAUUUGUUGGUUAAUUAAAAUAAAAUCCUCAAUGAGUCUCAAAAUUGCCAAGAAUCUUUUGAGAGAAUGUAAAGCUCUUAAGAAAAAUAUUAUAGCUGUUGAUCCUGGAUCUAAGUAUAUCGGCCUUGCACUAGCCAACUUCGAGCAAAAUUAUGUGGAAAUGACACCAUUGGGGUAUAAUUGCUUUUCACAUUAUAGUAAAUACUAGUUAGAGAUAAAAUAUAAAUUAAUUAUUUGUGUAACACUAUUUUUUUUCAAUGUCGCAGACAUAUAACACAAACUACAAAAGCACAGGAUCUGGAGCAACUCAGAAAACGUGUAAGUUUAUAAUAUUAUAACUAUGAAUAAGUAGUAAAAGUGAUAUUCAAAAUAAAUAAACAAUAAUUUAACAUCUAUAUAAGGUCCAACUAUUUUGUAAUCCACGUUAGGUACCCCUUGUUUUUCAUUUAGUGAUAUAACCAUUAGACCAAACCAAAUAGUUGCAUAACGGUUUAGAUGCAUGUGUUUGCAUGGUUACUAACAUUGCCAUCCCUGAUGUUUGCUGAAAAAUCAAAAGAGUCAAAGGUUUCUAAAUCUUAACAUGUAUGUCCAGAUUGUUUCAAAAAUUUUUACACUUGAAUCCAUCGACCUAAUUUCACUAUUAGAAUGAGUGACAUUGUAUGUGCAGUAAUGUAAUCUCACGUACAAAUUCCAAAAUGCAUGAAAAAUUAACAUGAUUUAAUAACAAAAAUUUUAUAACAUAAUAUCUCUUUAAUAUAAAAUAAAUUAUUUGAAUAUGUCAAUAAAAAAAUAAUAUGUGACAAAAAUAUAUUAAUUUGUCAAUAAUAACAAACUAUGACCAAAGUGACUGUGUAGAUGCGUAAAUUAAAUGUUUUCAAUGAUAUUAUUAAUGAACAUGUCCCAUACUUCUUAAAUUAUAUGUAAUUAAAUUUUAUUAUUUGCAUAUUAAUAUCUUCAUCUAAAUGGAAACCGAACUUCGUCCCUUUGCUUUCUUUAUUCCUAAAUAACAAUUUAGCACUCCUGAACUUCAUCCUCCAUUUUUUUUUUAAUUUCUACUUGUCAUAAACUCAAACCUAAUAAAAUAAUUUUGGUUGAAACCAUCAUAUUUCAGAAACAGAUUUUUUUUCAUCAACAAUAAUCCUAACAUAGGUCCUUUGGUCUAAUUAGUGGUUUGAUUUGAAAAUGUUGUUAUUUUUUCAUAGAUGCUCCAAAUAUAAGAUUUAUAGCUCUUAAAAUUUUGUUAUUUAUAAACUUGUCAUUCAUAUUCCCUAGAAAUUCUUGAACUACACCUUUCCUAAGGAUUUUUCUUUUUUAGUUUAUACGAAUGGUUAUUUUUGUGCAAGAUGAAAGAUAGCAUGGAUAAAGAAUAAAUAGUUGUAAAUUACAGAGAUUUAUUCUUCGUCCAUAAAAUAAUUUAAUGAAUGAGUAUUUUUUAAUAUAAAUUAUUUAAUUAAAAGGUGGUACAAAGAAUAUUUUUAUGGUUUAAAUAUCCUCAACCUUCAGUUGUUUCUUUGUAAGGGUAAAAAUGACAAUUCCACAUUCUAUUAGAAUUUUCAUAAUGAUCAAUAAUGGACAAUGAUAUCAACAUAAAAAAUUAAAAUGAGCAGGACUUGAGUGUUAAAAUUUAGAAAUACUAUUUGGUUAAUUUAAUUUUAAAAAGAAACAUGAAUUGUAGCUCAAUUUGUUAAAAAAAAAAAUUACAAAGAAUAUAUUAAGCAAAUAAAUUUAUGGAUUGUAUUUCUCUAACGACUUUUAUAUGCAGAUAAAUGAUCAUAAUGUUGGUGGUCUGAUCAUUGGCGACCCGAUAGUUGGGGAGUACGAUGAGACCGGCGAAGGCUUGCGAAGGGUUAGUCUUAAAAAAAUUUAAUUUAGUUAUUAGUCUUUAAAAAUUUUAAUUUAGUUAACUCAUUUUUUAAAGCAUAUAUUCAUUUCAUUUUUUUCUUUGUUUUUUCAUUUUAUUAGGCCAAGCAUACCAAAACGUUCAUGAAAGAUUUUGAUAAAUAUAUCACCACAAGCUAUUGCUACCAGAACGAGACAAACUCUAGUGAAAGUUCUACGAGGACAUUGAAAGAAUUUGAGGUAGCUUGUCAAAAGCCCUUCUUAGAUGAAGUUUCGGCAAUGAGCAUAAUGGCACAAUGCUUCUGUGAUAAUUGUGGUGAGGUUUCUGAUAAUGUUGCCCUUGUGAGAGGACGGAGCAUUCAUUUUGGUAGUAAUGAAGAUUAAGAUAAAUAUUAUUAAAGGGAUUGAUGAUGUUUGUGGGUAUCGUCGCUACAAACCCUCACGAGACUAAACUCGUCCACUAGGGCUGCCUAGGGGUUUAAAGGCUUGUUGCAUACGCUAAAUGCAACCGUGAUUACCUGCGAAAGUGGUGUAAUAGGAUUUAAUUUAUUUCGUUUUUUACUUUUAAUUGAAAAACUUUGUAUUUGAAUUCACUAGUAUUCAAUUACUUACACUGAUAAAAUUAUUUAUUUUAACCAUCUCCCAAUACUAUAAUACCUGAGAUGAAAUUUUCUUAGAAAAUUAUUCAUGAUGCCAAAACAAGCCCUUCAAAGAACUAACAAGAUUAGAUUUGGUCACAAGGGCAAAUGGAUCUGGAAUUAGGAAAAAAUUCGACGCCAAAUAUUCCAAAUACAACAUAACUUAAAUUUACCAUAAAUUCUUCAUCUUGGCCCAUGUGUUGCAGCAGAACAAUCGUCGAAUAGUUUAGCUUAAAACCAUCGUAUGGGUGUUAAAACGACUAGUCGUUUAUCGUCCUCAACUUUUUCAUGCAUGCAUUGAUCCCUACUAAGCAGAGAAAACUAUAUCUGUCAUGCAUUAUUGCUUUAAUCAAUUCUUAGAGGAAUCAGAGAAAAUUAAGGCAUAAUCUGGAUGAAGGAAACCCUAUGGCUAAAGCAAGGGCCAUAUUUGUCGGCUUUACUUGGUACAGAGAUUGUUCCGUGAAUGUUGCUCUAAUUGUUGCUGUGAAAUUUACAUUAAGAAUAAAAAAAGGAAAAUCAUAUUUCUCAUUUCUCAUUCAAUACUAUUUUCCACCCCUCGUCUUCUUUAUUUCUUAAUUCCCUUUUUUUUUUAUUCUUCGUCUUCUUCUUGAUCGUUCUUCUUUAUUGUUAAUUUCUUUCUUUUUUAAUUUUUUAGUUUCAUCUCACGUACACAAUGGAUCGAACUUAGGAACAAGAAUUCACAGAUAAUUCUUCACAUUGAAGACUUCCUUUUACUGUUUACUAAUAAUUCUUUGGAGACAAGAAAUAAUUAUGGCUGAUCAUGUUAGUCAUAGCCGGUAAUGAUUUGAUUGAUUUCACGGUUUAUCAAUUGCUAAAAUUCAUACGCACCAAAUAGUGAGAUGUGCACGGACUAUACCUUUCAAGUCUAUUAUAACCGCAAGAUUUCUUCUACACACACGUUAAUCCUACAUAUACAACUUAUUAUCCCGUUAACAGUGCGUUCAUCCAUUUAUCACUUUGUAACGUCAGUUGGCAUCCACAAGCAAACAUCUUCUGAUAAUCUAAUCAGACAAUUCCAAGAGUUACUAUUUCAUAAAAGAGUAGGAUUAUUUAUGCUGUAAAAAUUACCUUGAUCGCUUCAUUAUUCUAUACACUAAUAUAUUAAUUUUAAAUAAUUAAGUUUUAGUCUUUUCAAAAAACAAAAAAAAAUAAUUAAGUUUUAAUGAGUACAUUUUAAAUCCACCGGAUUAGUUUCAAAAUUCCUUUACUCAUUAAAACCAUUGUUAAAAUUUAAAAGUUUAUAUUAUACUUUAUAAAUCCAUCUUAAUACCUAAUAUACCUUUGAAACUAAUUCAUGAUUUUCUGCAACUUUUUUCUUCCAUUCUUCUUCUUCUCCUUCUUCUUCUUCUAUCUAUCCAACCCGUAACCUGUUCAUACCCAAAAACCAAAUCCCUCAACUUAUUAAGUGGAAUUAAUUUUUUUGCCCAUUAUUGUCAUUAAACCGCUAUAAAAUAUAUAUAAUAUCAUGAAAAAAUAAAGUAAUAAUAAAAUUAUAGUUGUAAUCAAUAAUCAAUUAAACUACUAAACUAAAGCGCACAAUAUUUUUCAAUGGCAUGGCUUUCCUCUUUCUUAUAUAGUUCGAAUUCAAUGAAAUAGAUUUGAUUGUUUGAAUCUAGAAUAGCUUGACUAGUGAUAUAGUUUUCACCAAAUCCAAUAUUUAACAACUCAGUUUGAUCUGUUUUCAACUAGAGGAGUUGAAGAAAAAUUAAUAACUAUGAAACAAUUUUUUUUUCUGUAUACAUUAAGCAAAUUUAGAGAUGACUUCAAGAUGAAAUACGCAUUAUUAAGUCCAUAACAGUAUCUUAUGUUAGAGACAAUUUAAUAAUAAAUUUUUUUAAUACUGAGUCAAAUGAGAAUUUGGGUUCAAAUAAUCCUUCAUUAAGUUUUAUUUUGUACAUUAUUUAUGAUUUUAAAAAAACCUUACUUAAACUAUUUCAAUUUUUAUGUAAUAUGAUGUUAGAAGUAAAAAUUUCAAGAUUCAAAGAAAUUAUAUAAUAUUAACUUAUGACAAAUUAUCUUUAAUAGUUAUUUGCAUGAUGAGUAAUUUUGCAUUAAAAUGUUUUAUAUAAAAUUAAAGCAAUGGCGGACUCAAACAAUUAAAUUAUUGGGGGCUUAGAUAAAAAGGUUAUAAUUUAAUUUGGGGCGGUUAAUUAUUUUUUUACUGUUCACUUAAACGUGUUGAACGUCUCAAAAACUUAAAUUCUAUUAUUUUCUUUUAAAUUUAAAAAAAAUCAGGACAAUAAUUAUUAAUUUUAAAUGUUGGAACUCUUGUGGCACUACUGGAAAAAUGAGAAACAAUGAUACUGAGUUUCUGAUACUAAAUAAAAAAGUAUCAACAUUUGAUGACCUAAGCGGAUUUUCACGUCUUUUAUAUAUAAGUGUCGGUGAUCAUUGAUACUAUAGUAUCAUAACCAAACAUUGAUGCUAAUUGGAGAAGUAAUUUUAAUUUUAUUUUAAUUUUUUCAAUUUUCCUAAAUCUAAACGGCAUCGUUCUAAUUGCUAAAAAGUUAUCGAUAUAAAUUAAACACCUUGAAAUUAGCUUCUUCUUUUCCUCUCCUUCCAAAAUCGAUUCCCCCCUCUCUUUCUACUGAAACCCUAAAUCUAAAAUCAGGGCCAAGGAAAUAUUGAUUCAAGAAACGGGGCCGAGAGUGAGCCAGCUCUCGUACGGAGCGUGAGUCAGCUUCGGGAACCAGCUGGACGUGACGGAGGCGAAGUCGCUCUUGCAGUGCUCCCGCGACCACGGCAUCAACUUCUUCGACAAUGCCGAGGUCUACGCCAACGGCCGCGCGGAAGAGAUCAUGGGCCAGGCCAUUCGCGAGCUCGGGUGGAAGCGAUCCGACAUCGUCGUUUCCACCAAGAUCUUUUGGGGCGGCCAGGGCCCCAACGAUAAAGGCCUCUCCAGAAAACACAUCGUCAAGGGCACCAAAGCUUCCUUGAAACGCCUCGACAUGGACUACGUCGACGUUAUUUAUUGUCACAGGCCAGACACGUAGACACCGAUAGAGGAGACGGUGAGGGCGAUGAAUUAUAUUUACUUGAAAAAGAAAACGAUUAUUGUUCUUGGUAUUGGACUAGUGAAGGUGGUGAAUUUAAAAAAAAAAAUAUUGAUUCAAGAAACUCACAUCACCCGAUCCGCUUCACUUCAUCAAUUCUCUCCCCCCUCCCUCUCUUCACUUCAUCAAUUCUCUCCCCCCUCCCUCUCUUGCUCUCUCCCCCCUCUCUCUCUGCGUUUGAUUUAUGAAUGGCUUGAUUCCGAGUUGCAGGACGGUCAAUUUGAUCUGCGGUUUUUAUGACUGAAGUUUUUACUUGUUUGCUAAUAUUUAUAAUUCGUCCAUCCCGUUAUACUUGAAAGUUGGUGAUUCUAUUAAAUUUUAUAUCCAACCGGUAUCUUUUUAUUUAAAUCGGUAGGCCAGAAGCAAAUCAAUCUUUUUAUGCAUUGGCUGUAUUAGUAAAUCACAUGGAUAAAAUCACAGGGUUUAUAUUGUUACUUAUUUCUUUUCUGUUGGCAGGAAAAUUCCAAGGGAUUUGACAGAGGCAUCACUAUCUGGUGCAGGAUAAUCCAUAAUAUCAGCCCUUUCUAUGUUGUUUUUAUUUGGAAUGGUAGGUUGCCGCUUGCAUAGUUGUGCCUGUUUUGUCAGAUAUCAUGGGUGCAUUUUGCAUAUAAAUGUUAAAAUAUUAUGGUAUUUAAUAUAUUAUUUAUUUGACAUUCAAAUUUAAUAAGGAUACAAAUGUAAAAAUACAUAUUUUCGGUUUUUUAAGUUGAAAAAAAAAACUUAAUAUUUAUUUUUUGAGAUUCAGACGAAAAAACAAAUAUAUUAUUCAGAUUCAGACAUUCAAAUCUAUUCAGAAUUCAGACUAAUUCAAAUCUAUUUAGAUUUCAGACAAAAAAACAAACGCCUCCUAAGUCUCUAAAACCACUAAAUUAACAGCACUCUCUCAACAAAAUUACAAGUAUUUAUCAUUUAGAAGUUGUUUUUAAAUUCUUUUUAUUUAGUUCUUUGAAAAAGAGUUUGGGGCAAAGCCCUCCUUAAAUUUUUGUUGGGUACGCCCAUAUUGUAUUAAUUUGUCAAUAAUAACAAUGUAUAUGCCUAAAUUAAAAUUUUUCAGUAAUAUUAUUCCUGAACAUGUCUCGUAAUUAUUAAAUUAUAUGUAAUUAAAUAUUUUUUAUUUUAAUAUUAAUAUCUUCAUCUAAACUGAAAUUGAACUUCAUCUCUCUACUUUCUUUGUUCCUAAUUAUCAGUUUAGCGCCCAUGAACUUCGUCCUUCAUUUUUUUUUAAUUUCUUCUUCAUAAACUUGAACCUAAUAAAAUCAUUUUAAUUGAAACCAUCAUAUUUCAAAAAUAAUUUUUUUUCAUUAACAAUAAUCCUAUCAUUAAUUCUUUGGACUAAGUAGUGGUGUAAUUUGAAAAUAGGAUUUCUCUAUGAUGCUGUAUGGAUUUUUAUAGUGUUGAUAGUGGGAUUAAUGUGGACCCUUAGAUGUAAAAGUUUUAAGUUGAAUCAUUCAUUUAAUAUAAUACAUAAUUAGAUAAUUAAUUAAAAUAUAACAGGUAACUUAUAGGUUGCGGGUAAACAUUAAUUUGUUAAUUUUAAAUUAAUAUCAAUUUAGAAAAAAGUCACUCACCCCCCUAAGGUUUGCUUAAAUAAUCAUACAGAUCCCUUUAGUUUCAUAAAUGGUCACACAGACCUUCUUAGUUUCAUAAAUGACUAUUAUACCUUUUGAUUAAAAUAAUCUUUUUUUAAUGAUGGAUUAAAAUAAUCUAAAUAAAUAUAAAUAUAGUAAUAAGAGAAAAAUAAUAAAUAAAUAUCAUAUGAUACAAAUAAAAUGUUAUAAUAAGUAUAGUUGAUAAUAUAACGUGUACAAUGAAAAUUUUGCUAAUAUUAAGUUAUUAUUAGUCUAUCUUGACAGAUUAACUAAAAUCUAUUAAUUAAAAAAUUGAUUUUAAGAUUGAUAUUAAUGUAGACAUAAUUGUAAAAAAUAAUAUAAAUUUUAUAAAUCAUUGUGAAAUUAUUGUGAAUGAUAGGUAUAAUUAUUUAAUUUUAGUAGUAUGUCAAAUAGAUUUUAAUAUUAGUAAAAAGAAUAUGAAAAAUAAAUAAUGUUAAAAAAAUUUUGUUGAUAUUGAAAAUAUUUUACACUUAUUUAACAUAUUAUAUUUUUUUAAUUUAAGGAGUUAUGUAUGACCAUUUAAGUAAAAUUUAGAGGUGUGGGUAGUCGCUUCCCUAUUAAUUUUAUAGCCUAUUUAAAGUGCUAUACCAUUCUAUAUCAUACAUCACACUUAAGAUGUUGAUUUUAUUGAAGUGUUAUGUUAUUAAAAAUUAAAGGGAAAUUAUCAUUCGUAUACCCUAUAGAUGCUCUGUUAUCAAAAAUACUACAACACUUUGAGGGUGUAUCAAUCGUCCACCCUAAGUUGAUAAAAUGUAUAUGCCGUCCACCAAAUCGUUACUUGUCGUUUAAAUAGGAUAACGCCAGAGGGGUAAUUUGGUCUUUUUAUAUGAUACAAGUGAUAAUUUAAGGGUAACAAAUGAUAAUAAAAGAAUUUAAGGAUGUACAAGUGAUACUUUUUAAGGGUAAAAUCGUCAAUUCGCUAUAAUUCUGUUAACUUUCAAACAACAGCUAACGGUUUGGUGGUCGACAGAUAGCUUUUGUCAAUUUAGGGUGGACGAUUGAUACACCCUCAAAGUGUUGUAGUAUUUUUUAUAACAUAGCAUCUAUAGGGUAUACGAAUGAUAAUAUCCCAAAAUUAAACUUUGCAUUUAUAAUGUACUACAACUUUAAUGUAAAAUGUAAUAAAAAAUAUAAAGACAUUUUUUAGUAGUCAAUUUUAGCUUUCUUUUACAAAAUAGUAUUAUAAAAGAAAAUUAGUAAAAUGUAAUAAAAAUGGCAUGAGUAAAGGUUAGUAGAGGUGAUUUUCCUUGUAGUUUUAAAACAUAUGAAGUAAUGGACACACACACAUAUUCAGUACUUCUAUUUACCCCUAUUUAUUAAUAAGUGGGAAAUUAAAGUCGUAAUUACCAUAAUGUAUUAUGAAUUGAUAUGUAAAAUAUAAAUACUAAUAAAAGCUAAUUUGUAGACUAAUAAAGUAAAUCAUAUUUUAUGGGCACUUGAUACAUUAAUCUAAGGUCAAAUGAGAUAUAUCACAUGAUAUUUCAAACUGUAGUCCAAUUUUCAACAUUUGCAUAUGGUUUUAUAACCUAGUAAACCAAUAAAAUAUACCAUGAGAAAUCAAAGGCUAUUGUAUAUAUUGCACCAUUGGAUAUAUAUAAAUAUAUAUAUAGACACACACAUAUAACUUCCGUUAAUCUUCCAUGGCCAUGCAUUAGAAUAAAAUAAUCUAACCGUACAGCUAUAUCUGAUUGAUAGAUUUUGAAAUUAGUUUGAUUACAUGAUAAUCGAAUUAUCUUAUAACAUUAAGGAUAUGAAUUAAGUAUCAUUUUAUCAAUUUUGAGUAUCGUAUUGAGUUUUCAAAUUAAUUAAAUGUUGAAACUCUUUCAUGUUUUGCCUGACAUUACUAUUUAAUAAAAUUACGAAAAGCCAAUAUGAAUUUUGUAGGAUACAUAGUAAAAUAAACUUUAAAAUGUGAUUAAGUAUUCCCAUGAAUUUUGUGUAAUUAAACAAAAUAUGUUAUUUUAGUGAAAUUGUUAGAAUAUUUAAAAUUGUUGGGGUGGUCACUAAAAUUUCUCGGACUUGAGCAAACUACACGAUCCCACACGAUUUAUUUUGAAAAAUACAACUUGUUAACCGCUGACUGUUGGUAGAAUAAGUUCCUAUAAACAAAAAACAAUUCAAACUCAUAUUUACAAGUAGCAAACAAUAUCUCAUCAAGGAACAAAUUUGAGUGGAGUUUUUGGUCAAUCAAUCUAAAUAAAUUUGAGUAGAGUUUUUUGUCAAUUAAUCAAGUUUUUGGGUUUUCAAAAAAUUUAUGUUCAAGGUAAAUAUGGGAGCUAUCAUUACAAGAAAGCUAUGGAUAUUGAUCAACAAAGUUAGUAUUGUAUAUGUUCUUUGUAAUUUGAUAUUUAGAACUGUUAUGAUUAUUUUGUUGUUGAGUAGAGAGAUGGUUAUGUGGAGAUUUCAGCUAUGUAACCAUGUAAUGACCAAUGCUUUAAAAUCAAACACUUGUUCGAUAAUUUGACAAACAAAAAAAAAUUAAAAAACAUGUAGAAAUGUAAGAAAAAUGAGCAUGUAAUGUCUGGCAGUCGUGCUUAUAGGGGAAAGAGGCUGAAACAAAGAACUAAUACAUUUUUUAAGUUGGUUGCUUCAGUGAUUCUGAGCAGUCAGCAUUCUUUAAGCCAUAUUUUCAUGUAGAAAACUUCAAAUAGAAAACCAUAAAAUUAUUUGAACUCCUGAGGAAUAAAUAUUUCUAGACAUGUAUAGUUUGUAAUUUUAUUCCUUAUUAAUUGAUAUCAGUUAAUGCAGAAACUUCGGGUCUUGUGUAGUUUCAAGAGAGUUAUGACCUUUGUGCACUAAAUCGUGAAUAUCUUUAAGAAGAGAAGUCCAAAUUUGAUUUUAUAAAUUUCGUCCAUAACUAGACACAUUUAUCUAUCAAAGAAUUUAUAUUAUGCAAUCUCAUAUAUUAUAGAUCAAUACAGUUAAAUAAUGAAAUUUGGCUUAUAAUCAUAGACUUGGUUGCUUCAGUGAUUUUGAGCAGUCAGCAUUCUUUAAGCCAUAUCUUCAUGUAGAAAUCUUCAAAUAGAUAACUAUAAAAUUAUUUGAACUCUUGAGGAAUAAUAUUUCUAGAAAUAAAUAGUUUGUAAUUUUAUUCCUUGUUAAUUGAUAUCAGUUAAUUCAGAAACUUCGGGUCUUGUGUAGUUUCAAGGCAGUUGUGGAAGAUUUGGUUCUCUUUCAGUUUCCUAUAUGCAAAUAGGUUUUUCAAUGAUAAAUUUUCACCACAUGCGUCUUCAAUAUUGUCCUUAAUCGCUGCGAUCUUCACCCCAAACUCAUCUCCCUUGCCCAUAAAAUUUUGACCACUUGAUUCAUUUUUACUAGUUUGAACAUCUUUACUAGAAGAGUUCAUCUUUUCCUUCCAUGGGUGUGAUUGCAUAUGAGUUAUAUUAUGUUCAAGUGCUUCAACUACACCAAUGCAUAAGUAUCUAAACUGUUCCUCUUCAGCUCACCAAGUUCAUACAUGACAGCGGCAAGAUUAAAAGUCAUCCCAUCAAUUUUUUCAUUAAGCUUUGUCAAUUCCUUCUCAUGGUUGCAAUUUUGAAAGUUUGCUUCACCCUCUCCGUUUGUUUUUAUGCUUUUAUGGAGCCCUCCAUCAUCUUUUCUUUCCAUCUGCAUUUUAAUGUUAAUAUUUAGUCAAUCGUGUGACAUCAAGUAUAUCUAUAAAAUAAUGAUACUAACAAAUAAAGUAUCAAUAAACAAAAAUGAAGAUUUUAACAUCUAUAUUUUCAUAUGGGGCUUGCCUUUAAUUUUUAGAAUUUAAAGACCGACAUUUAAAUUUCAAUUGUAAGAUAUUAGUAGUCAGCUGAAUUCCCUCCUCAAAGUAAUAUAAAUUCGUAAAGUGAAACGGAAAAAUCUCUUGGCGAUAUUAUACUCCAGCAGAUGCAAAGUAGACAACUAGACUGGCCAAAUUCUGAAUGUUGAGACUUUUAAAGAUUGAAUUUUCCCUUGUUGCCUUCAUUGAGAAAAUGACAGAGAAUUAAAAGAGAGAAAGUUCAUUCCCACCGCAUAAAGCCUAAGAGAGACAAAAUUAUUAAUCUAACUCUCGAAUCUUCAGGUCUUCACAAAAGAACAUAUAACAAACUUGAAAAAAAAAUAAUUGCCCCUUCAGAUCCAAAAAUUAUUUUGCUUCUAAUAUUGUUUUGCAUGCUUUAGCUGUAGUAAUUAGUUACUUUCCGUGUAAUCAACAAAACCCCAAAAAAACGACACUAGAAACUGUGGUUUUGAUCAUAUGUGAUAAAGUGAAUUGAACUUCCCAGCAAGGGCUUCAAUCUAAAAAGCAAGUAAGCCAUUCUUUGUGAUUAAUUAAUUACAACUUAAUUACUUAAUUAUUUCUCUUGCAUACGUAAUUAGUUGACUUUUUUUUGGCUGUAAUAAAUACCACGAAUUGUAAGAAUCAUUAACCUUCUUAUAGGCCUCAUAGAUGAUCGUAUAGAUAAUGCUAAUAAACUUUCUUCAAAUUAAGUUCAUUAAUUUCAUAUUUCUGUCCUAUAUUUAUGCUUCCAAAUGGAUAAUUUUCUUGAGAAUUUUCAACAUACUCAGUUAUUUCUUGUCCAGUGUUAUUCUAACAACUAAGAAAAAUAAGAAAAUCUUUUAAAUAAGAUAAAUGAAUUUGUCAAAACUAAUCUAUCAUCAAACAGAUACGUAUCCACUUGCCUAGUUGCCUUGCAGAUUAAUUAAUCCUGCAUUCUUUUUAGCACUGUAAUAGCAUAAUCACAUAAUCUACCACCAAAUAUGCUAUUUAUGCUUAAAGUUAAUAUCAAUUAACAACAAGGUUGUUAUGAUCACUCUCUAGUGACAAUAAAACACCAAAAAUGCAGGUGUCAUUAUAUAUCUAAAAAUAGACUAUAUAUCUAACAAUAAGCUAAUAGUAAACUCUUUCCUAAAUUAAAAAAGCUAGAAAGUUGAAUAAUUAAAUGGAUUCGCAACUGGCACAAAUAUGGAACUCUAAAUAUUUUGUUUAUCUAUACAUCAUGAAACUUGAAAAAAUCCAAACUAAAGUAAAAUUUCAACAUGGCCGACCAACUAACUUUUCAUUACCAAAACAUAUAUAAAAGAAAACAUCAUGAAAGAGUUUGCAAAGCCUCACAUGACAUUAAGAUUAUGUAUCUUAUUCUCAGUCACUACUAGAAAAAUGGGCUUUACUGACACCAAUUCAGUGUCAAUAAUAACUUUUACUGACACUUGUUAAUUGUGUCAGUAAUGCUCCAGCCAGAACACACUGACACUAAUUUUUGGUGUCAGUGAUUUUCGUGUCAGUAAUUCGUGUUACUCUAGUAUCACUAAAAUAAUGACACUAUGGCGUUAGUACUUAAUGAUACUAUUUACAUGUCAGUAAUUCAUGUCACUAUAGUAUCACUAAAAUAAUGAUACGAAGUGUAAACAUUUAAUGAUACUAUUUACAUAUCAAUAUUUAAAAUUGAGUCAGUAUUUAGUGAUGUUAUGCUGCUUUUGGUUAGUAAUAUAUUUUUAUUUUAAUUAUAUUUUUCCAAUUUGUUUUACAAUUAAAAAAAUAAAUAUAUUAAAUAUAUCAAAUCUCCCAACACAAUUCACAUAAUAAAUAUCCCAAAUACAUCACUUAAAUUAACAUAAUUCAACUACAUCAUUGUUUGGAAAAAAAAAAGAACAUAAGUAUCAAAUUAAGUUUUCGACAAGUUUUAAGCAACAAAGUACUAAAUUCAGUUUCAACGAACAUUAACCAACAAUAAUAAGCACAAGAAUGUACUGAAUAUCCAUACGUGGCUUCAUUUUUUUCCCCCACCUACAAGCAAAUAAAAUCAAUUAGAACACCACAAAAAAUAAGUCUUAGAGAUUUGGAAGCAAAAGUGGUCCUAAAUUACUCAUAUAUUACCUCGCGAUUGUAGGCUUUAAUUAACUUGGCAACAUAUGUAGCCUAUUGAUCACGAAGUUGCGAGAGCUCUUUCAUCGCGUACUCAUCAAUUCCCUUGAACUUUAAUUUCAAAACAAGAAGUUAUUCGCCAAAAGUUAAAUUGUAAACUUCUUAAUUAUCAUUCAUUUAAAUAUAUCCAUGUGAUAACAAUUCAAAACACUUUAUGCACUUGAAAUGAACUCCAAUAAUGUUACUCUUCUAUCCAAAAUUAUACAGGCAAACACUAAAUGUCUUGAAAACCAAGCUAAUAAGAAAAAAUUUUCAACAGUGUUGAUCUACAUUAUUAUAUAGUAAUGUUUGAAGCCGAAGCAACUUGUGAACAUCAACACUAACCACUUUAAUGCAAAUGUGGAUGUAGAUAUAAAACCUCAAUAGGUAUAUCUUCAUCAAAGUGAAGUAAAAGCAACAAUAUUGUAACAUGUUGCCACUAAUAACAACUUUGCAACAAACCCAUUAAAACGUAAGCGAGUGAUGAGCAGUAGAAAGUGGACAGGUAAAAGUAGAUAUUUAGAAGGUUUAUAAUUAAGCACUUAUAAUAGUAAUUUGAACAAAAUCCUAAAAUUGAAACAAAAGAAGCUUUGAAAGCAAAACAGAAAAUGAACAAGCAAGAAGGGCCCUAAUGGUUUUUUGUUAAGUCAAGCUAAUUCAUAAGUGAAGUAACUAAUAAAAAUUAAGACUUAAAAUAAAAUAAAAAGUCUUCAUAUUGUUUAAUCAUCAUAUAAAUUUUUUUUAAUGUUUAAAGUAUAUGUAUAGAGAGAGAACACUCAAUUUUACAACCUACUUAUGAAUUAAAAUUUAUCCACAAAAAAGCAAAAAAAACAAAGCUAAAGUUUUAAUUAAAAAUAUAGUGGUACUAUCUGUAAACUAUGCUGCCUGAGUGGAGUUAGAGACUGCAAAUACUAGUUUUACUAAUAAAGAUUACCUUCAGUUCCAUCUAAUUCUAUUAUUCUACUAAAACCAAUGCUACCAAAUACAAGCCAACCUUCAACUAUAAUCUUGUAAUGUGCCAUUUCACAUUAUAAAGUCUCUAAUUCUCUUAUUACAUGGCAAAAACUAUAACAAAAAUUAUGAAAUUACAAUGGUCCCAAUCAAGUUAUUUCUAAACAACUCAUUUUGCCAAUUGUAACUCGGCAUUAAACAAAAUAAAGAGCCCUAUAAAAAGACAAAAGGCCAAUCAAGGGCAUGUUAUUUUACUUUUAGUUUUCCUUUUUCCACAAUAUUUCAAAAGCUUAACGUCUCAUACAACUUUCUUUAAAUUUGUAGGAACUCAUAGAGGUGAUAAGAUGUUUAUGUGAAUUUACCCAGUGCAGCUUGAUGAUUCAUUUAUGUUCACAAUCAUACUUGGAUAUUCUGCAAUUGAUGAUCUGCACAUGAGGCCAUAGACAAGUUGUUGUUUGCUUCCACGUCCUCAGCAAUAAUACUUGGGUUAUGAACCUACAAAAGAUACAAACAAUCAAAUAUUUGAUAUCAGCUCUGAUGUAGCCAUAGUACUACAAAAACAAUCGUUAAUUACAUAAAAGAUUUCUAAAUCAAACAGAGGCACUCUAGCAUUAUAAAUAUAAAUUAUAAAAUAAAUCUUUUAAAGUCAUUUAACAACUGAAUUACUAAUUUACAAAUGCAUUUAAGUUAAUGGAAUCUCACAAUUUUUAUAUUUCCUUCUUCCACAACACUUCAAAAGUUUGUCGACUCAUGCAACUUGUAAUAAGACAAAAAGAAAGCAAACUAAAAAGUAAAAGAGAGACAAUUGAUGCAAAGUUGUAUUUCAACAUAUAAAAGAAUGUACAAAAGAGGGGUUAUAUAGUUGGUGAGCCCCUACAUUAAAUGAAUGCCUUGAUUCACAUAAUAGCCUAGGAUCAAGUAGCAUAUGGCUAGAAUUAGCCAAGGGACAACAAAUUAAUCCCUAGACUCGAGCAUAAUUGCCAUGCCGUCAUAUAUUCUAACACAAGUUUAUUUAAAUUUGUAGGAGGUAAUAGAGGUGAUGAGCUGCUUACAUGAAUUCCCCCAAUGCAGCUUGAUAUUUACAAUUAUAUUCACAAUCAUACCUGGGAAUUUCACAGUUGGUGAUCAGCAGCUGGGGCAAUAGGAGAGGCAAAGCCUGAUGAAUUGGAAACUCCCCCAGCAUAUAUAAUAUUAAAUGCAGCAACAAUUAUAGCAAAGACUAGUGAGAAAACAUAUGCAUCAAAGCUGUUUUUGACACCCAAUUCUGCCAGAAUAAAAUUAGCAAGUGUUGAUGCGAGAUUCCGGUACUCCUCGUUCUACGACCAGGAUCUCUGCUCGAUCAACUUCAUCACGACCAGGGGGUCUCCUCGCGGAGCUUCUUCUCCAGAGGUUCCUGCGCACACAGACAAGUCAGGGUACGCCGGUUGUUUUCUUGGCGCAAACCCUCCGACGCUCAAGUCAGAUAUGAAGGCUCGGGGAACGCUGACCACCAAUGUUAUCGCUGUUGAGUUGUUUUCUCCCUUUUUAGAAUCAAAAUUGCUUCUUGUUUUGAUCUAAAAAAUGCCAACCUUUUUACCUUCGUUGGUUACCUUUUUAUAGGCUUCCCCUGAAUUCCAGUCUUCCGCUUUUUUCUAGACAGCAUGGGGCUCUCACUGCUGCGUUAUGGGCAAACGCGGAAUCUUGCGUGUUACGCCACGGUUCUGGGGAAAGCGUGGCUGUCGUGGUUCCGUGAGAUCUUGCGUGUUACGCCACGGUUCUGGGGAAAGCGUGGCUGUCGUGGUUCUGUGAGAUCUUGCGUGUUACGCCACGGUUCUGGGAAAAGCGUGGCUGUCGUACUUAGAUUCUCGGGCUGGGGAGCCCGUCUUGCCCACUGUCGUCGACUGGGUCUCCUCGCCUCUCGACCUCUAGCCGGAAUGGCCUUAUGCCUCUUACAGGAAAUUGGCCUCGUGGAUGACGUGCUCGUGGGUGAGCAGGAUAUUUCUGUUCCUGUUCCCCCGCGCACCAGGUUUUUACGGGACAUACCGGUUCGCAGAACUCUGCCAUCAGAUAUCCGCUCACCAAGCCUGGUCUCGUCGACGUAUUUCUCCUAAACAGCAAGCGUAACAAUUAAUUGAACCACAGAGAAAGAAAUUUCCGCAGUCCUAACUAGUUGCAUCUGCCUAUGUACUCUAGUUGCAGUUCUGGUUCUUCCCAUGAUAUAAGUAUACAUACUCGUAGCAAAACCAAAUGCUGACAAUAGAAAUACAGCAAGAAGAAUUAUUCUCUUCAUUUUUCCCAGGGUAGAUUGCCAAUUUUCCAGUUACUGUUAUCUCCUACCAUUUUUGUAAUCUCUAAUAAUUCCCCUAACAACAUAAGUUUAUAAUAUUACACUUAUUUUCAAAUACACUUUUAUUCAUAUUUAUUAUAGAUUAAAUAAAUCACAUGAAUCAUUUGAUUUUUAUUGCCUAAUCGAAUUGAACCGAACUGCCAUAAUACAGCUCAAUUAGAUUCAGUUUGGAUUGAACCAAGUCAAAUGCUCACCCCAAUCAAGAACAUGUUAUUUUAAUGUUCGUUUUCAUUUCAACUUGGGAAGAACCAAAUAGAAAAAGGGAAACAACCAUUUGACUCUCCUCCCUAUUUGAAAUUUUAAUGGCGUGGGAUUCUCUUUGAAAUUUCCAUUGAAAACUAAAAUCAAACAUAAUUUUCAUACCCGACUUCAUAGCAAUCCAAAUCUAGUUGAAUUAAGUACACAUAGACAAAUGUCCCGGCUUCAGGUAUUUCUUCUAUUUUCUCGGUAUUGGUUAGUUGUAGAUAAUUUCCUUUCUCUCUGCUUUGCUCGAGGUUGUAGUUGGCGGUGGUGUUUUGGUUAGAACUUAGGAUAUGUCGAAGGGUAAGGAGAAAGUCGUUGAGGUUGGUGACGACGAACUAGGUUUCUUGCCUAGUCUGCUCGCUGAUUCUGCUUUUGACCCCGGGGCCCCCUUAGAACCCACUAGGACUAGUGUCGGGACUAGCGCUAGGAGGACGUCCCCCCACACGACCUCCACGAGCAGAAGUAGUGGUGAAGAGGGAUCUUCUGGCUCGGAAGACACCCUAAGUGAGGAUCAAGGAGGUGAUUCUGGGGAGGGAUCUUCACCAGGAGCGCCGCGACCAGAGAGGCGCAGUACAGUAGGAGGUAGAGCCUCGUUGCGGGAUUAUGCUAUUGAUUACAUGACCUGCACGACCACAUUCAACGAGCUGGAUGACCUCCGGCUCAGGUAUAGCAUUCCUGGUGAAAUUCCUCUCAAGAUCCCAGGGAAGAAGGAUACACCUAGCCGGCCUCCUAGGGGAUAUGUUACCCUGUUUCUGGAAAGCUUUAAGUUUGGGCUAAGGUGUCCCUUACAACCCUACUUUGCCCGUAUACUUAACGGGCUGAAUCUGGCUCCUGGUCAGCUGAACCCCAAUGGGUGGAGAGUGCUCUCUGGUCUGUUCAUAUUGUGGGACAGAUGUUGCCAGAGCGAGCCCACGAUUGAUGAGGUGAAGCACCUAUACCAGCUAAAGAGCAGCCCUAAAGAUGCCGGUUGGUACUACUUCCAAUCUAGUACCAAGAGCAGGAAACCCAUAACUGAUCUUCCAACUGGUGGUGGUGGGACUUGGAAGAGGAAAUUCUUUUUUGCUGGGGGUCCUUGGGGUCAAGUUGCACGGAUUGACGGGAACGAUUAUCGCGUCCCACCCCGUUUCGUGGUCCCAGGUUGUCUGCUCGCUUUAGAUGUCUUGUAUCCAUAAUUGUUCUUGCUUUAUUGGCUUGUCUCUAACCAAGUGUCCAUUUCCAAUCUGCUCGUUUGUGUUGUAGUUUCCUGGGGUGUUCAUUUCCCGCUCCAACUUGGUCAGCUUAAAAGGGUCGAGGCUGUACUGGCCAAUUCCUGCUCGAGCCGAGAACUGCUAUCUACAUACAACUUCCUCGAGUCUCGGUUGAUACUUCCUGGCCAUAAGAUGGAGGACGCAGUGAUUGGAGCUUUGACCAGGAAACGCUCUCGGCCCCCAACAACCAACAGGGACCAGAACAAAGAUGCUCCUGCUGCGAAGCGAAAGAACAUCGUGCAGCAGGUUCCUCCCUUGCAGGCUCUUCCUCUUGCUCUCGCUAAAGUCGGGGAGUCUAGUGGAGCAGCCACUGAUCCUGCUUCCUCUUCUCCACCUGUUGUGCCUCGGUCUCGCUUACCCGACAGCCGACCAGAACACUUGGUUCCCUAUCUCAAUGAGUUGUCUAAACUCGUGAGCAAGAAGGACCUGGAGGACUUUGAUGGUUGUACCCUGGGCGAGCUGGUGGGAGCCAUGCAGUAUAGCGCUUUCCAUCUCAGCUGCAUAACCACCUACUAUAAGGCCAAGGUUGGCCGUUACGACAGGAAGAUGAAGGAGGACAUUUAAUCGGCGACGACCAGAGCUGACGUUGCCGAGAAGAAAGCGGGGGAGCUAAACGUUGAGAACCUCAAGCUGAUAGAGCAAGAGUCUCUUGCUCAAGCAAAAGCCAUUACCCUCGAGGAGGAGUUGACCAAGGUUAAGGAGGAUCUGCAAAGGCAGAGGGCUAUAUAUGAGGCUCAGCUCGAAUCUCUCCGCGAUUCCCACCGAGCUCAGGUCGAGAACUUGGAGAGGGAGGCCGACAACCAGUACGACCAGGGACUUCGGCAUUCCUAUCGUUGCAUCAUGGCCGUCCUCGGGAAGCAACACCCCGAUCUGAAGAUGGAUGACCUUGCAGCUGGUGUUGCUCAACAUAUGGACGAGGAGGCGACCAAGGAAGACGCCGAAGGGGUAGAGCCGAUCGUGAUUGAGGAGGAAAACUCUCCUCCUCGUGCAGUCCCUGCCGAUGUUGGCGAGGCGAGCACCCCCCGAAUGCAACUGGUGAUACCCCUCCUGCACCUGAGGAGGUCCAGCCAACCGACGCUGCUGGGCUUACUGAUCCACGAUCUUCUUGAUAUAUUUCUUGUAUUGUAAUGAACAAUGUUUGUGAAGAUUAUCUGCUUUGUUAAUUAUUAACAAAUUAAUAAAGAUGUUUUUGAUUACUCUCUUGUGUUAUAAUUACGAGAGUCUGCUCGUCUUCGUCUGGUCGAGCUGGCUACGGCUUGGUAUAUGGUUUUGCCACCUGCCUUAGAAAAUUUUUCGAUGUUUGGGAUUCUGCUCGCCUCCGCGCGGUCGAGCAGAUCCUGCCAUGUUUGGUUUCUGUCUUGCCAUAAACAGGCUGUGAGACUUGACGAGCCUUUGCACGUCUUAAAAUUUUUUUUUUUUUUUUGUGCUUCGGAGUCUGCUCGCCUUUACGCGGUCGAGCAGAUCCUGGCAUGCUUGGCUUCUAUCUCGCCGUAAACAGGCUUCGAGACUUGGGGAGCCUUUGCAUGCCUUAGUGUCUCGUUCGACGUUUGGGGAUUCUGCUCGCCUUCGCGUGGUCGAGCAGAUCCUGGCAUGCUUGGCUUCUGUCUCGCCAUAAAAUAGGCUUUGAGACUUGGGGAGCCUUUGCAUGCCUUAGUGUCUCGUUCGACGUUUGGGGAUUCUGCUCGCCUUCGCGUGGUCGAGCAGAUCCUGGCAUGCUUGGCUUCUGUCUCGCCAUAAAACAGGCUUCGAGACUUGGUGAGCCUUUGCAUGCCUUGGGUAAUUUCUUCAAAGCUUGGGAUUCUGCUAGCCUUCUCGUGGCCGAGCAGAUCCUGGCAUGCUUGGCUUCUGCCUCGCCAUAAGACAGGCUUUAAGACUUGAUGAGCCUUUGCAUGCCUUGGGUUAUCUCUUCAAAGCUUGGGAUUCUGCUAGCCUUCUCGUGGCCGAGCAGAUCCUGGCAUGCUUGGCUUCUAUCUCGCCGUAAGACAGGCUUUGAGACUUUGUCGAGCCUUUGCAUGCCUUGGAUUCUUCAAGGAUUGGGAUUCUGCUCGCCUUCACGUGGCCGAGCAGGUCCUGGCAUGCUUGGUUUCUGUCUCGCCAUAAGACAGGCUUUGAGACUUGAUGAGCCUUUGUAUGCCUUGGGUUAUCUCUUCAAAGCUUGGGAUUCUGCUAGCCUUCUCGUGGCCGAGCAGAUCCUGGCAUGCUUGGCUUCUGCCUCGCCAUAAGACAGGCUUUGAGACUUGAUGAGCCUUUGCAUGCCUUGGUGUCUCGUUCGACGUUUGGGGAUUCUGCUCGCCUUCGCGUGGUCGAGCAGAUCCUGGCAUGCUUGGCUUCUGUCUCGCCAUAAAACAGGCUUUGAGACUUGGGGAGCCUUUGCAUGCCUUGGAUUCUUCAAGGAUUGGGAUUCUGCUCGCCUUCACGUGGCCGAGCAGGUCCUGGCAUGCUUGACUUCUGUCUCGCCAUAAGACAGGCUUUGAGACUUGAUGAGCCUUUGCAUGCCUUGGGUUAUCUCUUCAAAGCUUGGGAUUCUGCUAGCCUUCUCGUGGCCGAGCAGAUCCUGGCAUGCUUGGCUUCUGUCUCGCCAUAAGACAGGCUUUGAGACUUGAUGAGCCUUUGCAUGCCUUGGGUUAUUUCUUCGGUUUCAAGCGAAAGAAAUUCCUCGACGUUCUAUUAAUGGCCGGAUUCGGCUUACACGAAAUUGUUUGGACAUAAAGCGUGAGAGAUAAACGACAAUGAACAUGAGUAAAAAUAGCUUUCAAAUGUCAACAAGUCUCACUGGAAGUAUUUUCGGAGGUGUGCUGCGUUCCAUGGGCGUUUCACCUCGUGGCCGUCCGUGCGAACUAGCUUGUAAGCUCCGGGUCCCGCUAUCUGCUUGACUCUAUAUGGCCCUUCCCAAUUCGGUCCCAGCACUCCUUGAGUCGGAUCUUUGGUGCUCUGAUUCACUCUCCUCAGUACCCAGUCUCCGACCCCGAAUUGCCGUAUGUUCACCUUCUGGUUAUAAUAUCGAGCAACCCUCUGUUGGUAAAUGACUGAUCGCUCGGCUGCUUGCUCCCUCCUUUCCGUUAGCAGAUCAAGAUUCAAACACAUCUGCUCGUCGUUCUCCUGCUCAUUGAAAUGACCUGUCCGGUGUGUGGUCGUCCCUAUCUCAGCCGGCACGACCGCUUCAUGUCCGAAAGCCAAAGCGAACGGCGUCUCCCCAGUUGCGAUUUUGUGGGUUGUUCUGUAUGCCCAUAGCACACCUGACAGCUCGUCAACCCACGCACCCUUUUUUGCUCCAAGCCUGGUUUUCAAAAGUCUCUUGAUGGUCUUGUUGGCCGCUUCUACUUGUCCAUUCGAUUGAGGGUGAGCAGGCGAGCAAUAUUUCAGCUCUAUCCCGAGGUUCUGGCAGAACUCCCUGAAACUGUGAUUAUCGAACUGCCUGCCAUUAUCCGUUACCAAGGCAUAAGGGAUCCCGUAUCGACAGACCAGGUUUCUCCACACGAAGUCUGUUGUUUUCUUCUCUGUGAUCCUGCUAAGGGCUUCUACCUCUACCCACUUCGUGAAGUAAUCUAUAGCAACUAUUGCAUGUGUUGCAGCUCCUCGUGCCUUUGGCAAUGGGCCGAUCAGAUCAAUUCCCCAUUGAGCAAAUGGCCAGGGGGAGGUCAUGGAGGUGAGCUUCUCUGGUGGUUGGCUAGAGAAAUUUGCAAAACUCUGGCAGCUUACACAACUCCUGGUCUUUUCUUGGGCAUCCUGGUGCAUUGUCGGCCAGAAAUAUCCCUGCCUUAGAACCUUGUGGGCCAAGGAUCUCCCGCCAGAAUGAUUUCCGCAAAUUCCUUCAUGUACUUCUCUCAGUACGUAAUCCGCGUCGUCCUCAUCCAGACACCGAAGGAACGGUAGUGUAUAUCCUCGCCGAUACAGUACCCCAUCAAUCAUCGUGUAUCUCGAGGCCUGGGCUCUAAUCUUGCGAGCUUGCAGCUUAUCUGGUGGUAAUACCCCGUCUCUAAGGUAUGAGACUAUCGGGUCCCUCCACGAGCGUUUUUGUUCUAUCUGUAACACCCCCAAAUUCUGAUCGAUACUCGGGCUGGACUUCACCUCCAGAGGGACCGACUUGGGCAUUUUUGGGUCGGCUACUGCUGCCAUCCUAGCCAAGAUGUCUGCUCGACUAUUCUGCCCCCUGGGGAUUUGUAUCACCUCCGCGGUUUCGAACUUCCCCAUCAUCUGCCUGACUAUCUUCAGGUACUGCUCCAUCUUGUCAUCCCUUGGUUGGAAUAUUUCACUGACAUGAUUCGCAACCAACUGGGAAUCAGUUCUGAUCUUAACUCUGUCUACUUUCACGGCCAUAGCCAAUUCCAGACCUGCUAUCAAGGCUUCAUACUCUGCCUGGUUAUUCGUAGCUGCAAACUCUAACUUUAUAGCAUAAGAGAUCUCCUCCCCCUCGGGGCCUUCCAAGACAAUCCCUGCUCCUGAACCCCGCUCCCCUGAUGACCCAUCCACAGACACCUACCAUACUUGAGUUUCGUCAUUGCCUACAACCGCCUCUUGUUGAUCUAAGCAUACUUCGGGCUCUGUGAAUUCAGCUAUGAAAUCGGCCAUCGCCUGGGCUUUUAUCGCUGCGCGGGGUUUAUAGUCUAUGUCGAACUCGCUCAGCUCUACGGCCCACUUGACGAGCCGACCAGAGGCAUCCGGCUUGUGCAGAGUCUGACGCAAUGGCUGGUUUGUUAUUACCGAGACCGGGAAUGCUUGAAAAUAUGGCCUCAACUUCCGAGCAGCAACCACAAGGGCAAGUGCCCAUUUCUCCAACGGCGGGUAUCUGGUCUCAGCGUCGAGCAGGGCCUUGCUGGUGUAGUAUAUCGGGUACUGAACUCCUUCUUCCUCUCUCACCAGAACAGAACUGGCGGCCCGAUCCGAUAUCGCCAAAUACAGAUAUAACUUGUCCCCAUCCCUUGGUGUGGACAGCAGCGGAGCUUGCUGCAAGUAUUGCUUCAAGUUCCGGAAGGCUUCCUCGCAUUCUGGGGUCCAUUCUGUUUUCUUUCCCCUCCUUAUCACUUGAAAGAAUGGCUGACACUUAUCUGUAGCCUUGGAGAUGAAUCUGCUCAACGCCGCCAACCUCCCCGUGAGGCUCUGCAUCUCCUUCAGGUUACGAGGAGACGUCAUUUGCACGAUCGCCUGGAUUUUCUCGGGAUUUGCUUCAAUCCCCCUAUGGCUCACCAUGAAUCCAAGGAAUUUCCCUGACUCGACCCCAAAAGCACACUUCUCCGGGUUGAGCUUCAUCUUAUACUUCCUCAAAAGCUCGAAUGUCUCCUCGAGGUGUCCGACAUGUUCCUUCGGGAUUUUGGACUUGGUGAUCAUGUCAUCCACGUACACCUCCAUGGUUUUCCCAAUCAACGGCUUAAAGACUUUGUUCACCAGCCUCUAAUAGGUGGCCCCAGCAUUUUUGAGACCGAAUGGCAUUACCCUGUAACAGAACAAACCUUGGUUAGUGAUGAAGGCCGUGCUCUCCUCAUCCUGCUCGUACAUGGGGAUCUGGUUGUAUCCCGAGAACGCGUCCAUGAAGCUAAGCAGACCAUGUCCAGCAGUUGAAUCUACUAGCUGAUCGAUCUUUGGUAAAGGGAAGCUGUCUUUUGGGCACGCCUUAUUGAGGUCUGUGAAAUCCACACACAUCCUCCACUUGCCGUUUGCCUUCUUUACCAGCACCACAUUCGAUAUCCACUCAGGGUAACUGACUUCCCGAAUGAACCCUGCUCUCAAGAGCUUCUCCACCUCGUCAUUUAUAGCCUCAUACCUCUCCUGGUUGAAGCACCUCCUCUUCUGCCUUACUGCCCGAGCACCUUUCUUCAUUGCCAGCUUAUGACAUGCUACCUCAGGGUCAAUCCCUGGCAUGUCUUCAUGUGUCCAAGCAAACACAUCAGCAUGAGCCUCUAAGCAUUUCACCAACUCCUGCUUUUGCUCUCCCUUAAGUCUCGACCCGAUUCUGAUCGUCUUUCCCGGGUUCUCUGGUCCCAGGCUCACUGUUUCCAGAUCCUCUACAGGUUCUUGUCUGCCCUUCUUGUUUUCCACUCGGGUAUCGAGGGAUGUUAUCUGAAUGGCCUCCCUUGCUGCCGAGGAGUAGCAGCUUCUUGCGAUCCUCUGGUCUCCUCGUACCACUCCUACUACCCCAUUCACCCGGUACUUCAGAGCCAGAUAAUGGUUGGACAACACCGCUUUGCUCAUCCUUAAAAAUGGCCGACCUAGGAUCAUCUGGUAAGGACUUUCUUCAUCCACUACGACGAAGUCCAGUAUCAUUGUUCUUUUUGUCGGGGAGCUCCCAAUUGUGAUAGGCAGCUCGACCACGCCCAGAGGGACCAGCUUCCCUCCUCCGAACCCCUUCAAGGAGGUAUUGGUGUAUUCCAACUUCCGGUCGGCUAUUCCCAUCUCUUCCAGGGUUGACUUAAAUAACACAUCAACUGAGCUCCCCGUAUCAAUCAGUAUCCGAUCAAACUCCUUGCUCGCGACAGUAGCCUUGAUGACUAGAGCAUCCUCGUGGGGGUAUAGAAUCCCUUCCUCAUCCUCAUCCGUCCACAUGAUCGGCACUUGCCUGACUCUUGCUCGUUUGGCUGCUGGGGUGCUGAAGAGUACCUCUUUACUGGUCAUGGCGUACCUCGCAUAAUUUUUUCUCGAUCUGUUGGAGUCUCCGGCCAAUGUUGGGCCCCCAGCUAUCAUCCUUACUGCGGGCUGCUCGCGCCUCAAGUUUCUACCACCCUGCUCCCCUUCACCUGUUGUGGCCUCCAUCGGGAAGGUCCCAUCUAUAAACUCGUCCAGGUACCGAUUUCUCACCAAAUCUUCGACCUGAGUCUUGAGAUCUCUACACUCUGCUGUGGUAUGGCCAUGAGUGCCAUGGAACUUACAAUAACGUCCUCUAUCCCUCCUGUUGGGUAGCUUUGUUAUUGGUGUAGGGGGGUGCAGCAGCCCUCGAUCCUUUAUGGCCUCGUACACCUCAUCCAGGGACAUCUUCAAGGAAGUGUACCGCCCAUAGUCCGGGUUCUGGUCGAUCAAGUGCACUGCUCUUUCUUUGUUUGCCCCGCUCUGAGUUGGGGGCGGUGGAAGUACUCCUGGUCUACUCGCUCUGCUAUCGUGGGGAAGACCACCAGAUGCCGACUCAUGUCUUCUCCAAGGCUCCCUAGCUGGGGAACGGGGAGGUUGCGCCCUGCUGCGCUGAUAUUGUGGUGGCCUCUGAUGAGGCUGGUAAGCAGUCAUCAGACCUCCUGCUCCACCACCGGAGGCCUGGUGGUCCCUCCUCCUGAUCGGCCCAUUCCCCGGUAAUGCUUUCUUCUCUUUCCUCCCCAACCCUUCUAAUUGGUCUGUCUUAAUCCGUGCAACCUUCUCCUCUUCGAUCUCGAUGUCUCUCUUUGCCUGUUCGUAUGCGGCUGCAUACGUUUGAAUCGCUGGGCUUCUCAGAUUGUACCACAGCCUUCCUAUCUUCACCCCUUCCUUCAAUCCCCUUAACGCCUGAGGGUAGUUGAAGGCCCCCAAGUCGAGGACAGCCCGAUGAAACCUCUUGAUGAAUUCCCGAAGGGUUUCUUGCUCCCCCUGUUUCAUGCUUUUCAGCUCCAUCAUGUCAUCCUCCGGUGCCAUUGCCCCACUAAACUGCUCCGCGAAUUCCUGGCACAUCUGCUCGAAGGUUUUAAUGCUGCCCCGAGGAAGUUUCCUGUACCAUUCUCGUGCACGUCCCUCAAGGGAGAGUGGGAACACCCUGCACCUUUGGGGUCGAGAUAAUCCUUGUACCCCGGUUAUGUCGUUGAAGCGCUCUAUGUGCACCAGCGGAUCAGUUCUUCCCGAGUAUCUGAGGUCUGGGAGGCGGAAAUCUCUCGGAAUAACUGCCCUCAUGAUCUCUGCUGCGAGCGGUGAUUCUCCGUCCAGCAUUAUUCUCCAACCAGGGGCUCUGUUCCUUCCUUGCAUGUCGUCAAUUAUCUGCGCUAGUCUGCGCACUUCCUCCUCCAGCUGCACUGCACGACCAGGGUCACGUGCUGCAACUUGAUCCCGCUCUUGCUCUACAUCAUGCACGUGUUGCCUCAACUCUGUUUCCUCCGCAUUCACCACCCCGUCGUCCUCGUCACUAGUCUGUCUUGCCGGGGACUGCUCUCGUUCUCUAUGAAAUUCUCCCCGCAGAGGUACAUUACCCCUCUCACCACCGAAUCUCCCGGUGGUUUGACUUCUCCCCGCACUAUCGGGACCUGGUGCCACUCCACCGCCUCUCACCCUUCCCUCUCGGGUUACCCCUCGCUCGCUCCGCAGCUCAUGCAAGAUGGUUGUCAAGGUUUCCAUCUGCUUUUCCAUCCGUUCCAUCCGGUCGAACAUGACUUUUUCCCGUGCCUCACUGACUAUCUCCCUCAGCGUCACGGAAUCGUUAAGCCUCCUAUCACCCCCUUGUGCACUACUUCCUCCUGUCUCCAUCGCUUUUCACUUGCUUCACCCCUCUCCUUGUUAUCAACAGAAGCUUUUUGCUCUCUCCUCCCCACAGACGGCGCCAAAAUGUUGAUGCGAGAUUCCGGUACUCCUCGUUCUACGACCAGGAUCUCUGCUCGAUCAACUUCAUCACGACCAGGGGGUCUCCUCGCGAGGCUUCUUCUCCAGAGGUUCCUGCGCACACAGACAAGUCAGGGUACGCCGGUUGUUUUCCCGGCGCAAACCCUCCGACGCUCAAGUCAAAUAUGAAGGCUCGGAGAACGCUGACCACCAAUGUUAUCGCUGUUGAGUUGUUUUCUCCCCUUUUAGAAUCAAAAUUGCUUCUUGUUUUGAUCUCAAAAAUGCCAACCUUUUUACCUUCGUUGGUUACCUUUUUAUAGGCUUCCCCUGAAUUCCAGUCUUCCGCUUUUUUCUAGACAGCAUGGGGCUCUCACUGCUGCGUUAUGGGCAAACGCGGAAUCUUGCGUGUUACGCCACGGUUCUGGGGAAAGCGUGGCUGUCGUGGUUCUGUGAGAUCUUGCGUGUUACGCCACGGUUCUGGGGAAAGCGUGGCUGUCGUGGUUCUGUGAGAUCUUGCGUGUUACGCCACGGUUCUGGGAAAAGCGUGGUUAUCGUGGUUCUGUGAGAUCUUGCGUGUUACGCCACGGUUCUGGGAAAAGCGUGGCUGUCGUACUUAGAUUCUCGGGCUGGGGAGCCCGUCUUGCCCACUGUCGUCGACUGGGUCUCCUCGCCUCUCGACCUCUAGCCGGAAUGGCCUUAUGCCUCUUACAGGAAAUUGGCCUCGUGGAUGACGUGCUCGUGGGUGAGCAGGAUAUUUCUGUUCCUGUUCCCCCGCGCGCCAGGCUUUUACGGGACAUACCGGUUCGCAGAACUCUGCCAUCAGAUAUCCGCUCACCAAGCCUGGUCUCGUCGACGUAUUUCUCCUAAACAACAAGCGUAACAAUUAAUUGAACCACAGAGAAAGAAAUUUCCGCAGUCCUAACUAGUUGCAUCUGCCUAUGUACUCUAGUUGCAGUUCUGGUUCUUCCCAUGAUAUAAGUAUACAUACUCGUAGCAAAACCAAAUGCUGACAAUAGAAAUACAGCAAGAAGAAUUAUUCUCUUCAUUUUUCCCAGGGUAGAUUGCCAAUUUUCCAGUUACUGUUAUCUCCUACCAUUUUUGUAAUCUCUAAUAAUUCCCCUAACAACAUAAGUUUAUAAUAUUACACUUAUUUUCAAAUACACUUUUAUUCAUAUUUAUUAUAGAUUAAAUAAAUCACAUGAAUCAUUUGAUUUUUAUUGCCUAAUCGAAUUGAACCGAACUGCCAUAAUACAGCUCAAUUAGAUUCAGUUUGGAUUGAACCAAGUCAAAUGCUCACCCCAAUCAAGAACAUGUUAUUUUAAUGUUCGUUUUCAUUUCAACUUGGGAAGAACCAAAUAGAAAAAGGGAAACAACCAUUUGACUCUCCUCCCUAUUUGAAAUUUUAAUGGCGUGGGAUUCUCUUUGAAAUUUCCAUUGAAAACUAAAAUCAAACAUAAUUUUCAUACCCGACUUCAUAGCAAUCCAAAUCUAGUUGAAUUAAGUACACAUAGACAAAUGUAUAGCUUAUGUGUGUACAUAUUUGUUAAUAUUACAAAAGGGUUCAUGAGUCCCUCUCACUCUACAAUAGGCAACUACAACUGCAACCCAUUCCUUUUUUCUUUAUUACAUUACAAUACCCACCAUGACCAUCUCCACCUACUUGCCUCUACUGCCGCCAGAUGCCUAAUGCUACUGCAUUUACCCUCCACUUCACUUUUUUGUUCAUGACUUUUAUUUGCCCAUCAUGCCAUUUUCAAUUAAGCCCAUUUUUCAAUUUAAAGUCAUCAUGGAUAACCUAGAUAUUUCUAUUAAGAGAUGCUAAUAACAUGUCGAUAAUCAAAGACUCAUUGCAACAAUAAUUCUAGUACAUGUUCAAGAGCAAUACUUCAUCAAAAUCAGUAUAGUUAAUUGUGCGGUAAGUAAAUUCUAUCACGUCGCAUGUAUAAGUAAUAAGUUGGCGAUAAUGGACAGAAAAAUAAAAUUUCUUUAUAAAUAUUUCAAAACAAAUUUGAUCUCGUCAAAAUAAUAAUUAUAACAAAAUUAUCAAAAUAAAUCUUAAUUUGUAAUUGUAAUCAAUUAGAAAUUAAGGAGAGCACAGAAAGAAGACCAAUGAAAGAAAUAAAUUAAAAAAGGCAGAGAUUGAGGCAGUCAUAAGAUUGAGCUUACCUUGAAUAGAGAUUGAGGCAGUCAUAAGAUUGAGCUUACCUUGAAUAGAGAUUGAGGCAGUACGGAAGCGACGACGGAGAUUAAGGGACUACAACAGCGAUGAUGAAUAGCUGAGUAUUGAUGAUGGGUGGAAGCUGUUACGACCUUAGGGUGAUGACGACAGUGGAUUUAUUACCGGCGACGACACAAAAUCAUAAAUCACGACAGGAGAUUUUGAAAAUCACGACAGGAGAUUUUGAACUUUCACGACAGGGGAUUUUGAACUUUCACGACAGGGGAUUUUGAACUUUGGUGCACAGGAGAUGAUGAUAGCAAAAGAGACCAGACUUUGGUGCAUGGGAGUCAACGGCAGUGGGUAGUCGAGUGACGCCGGCGACGUGGUAGAUUUAGGGAUUUUGUAAGUUUUCGUUUGUAAGUUUUAUUCACUUAGACGAAAUGAGGGUAAGAGAUCGAUUGGGGAUUUUGUUUUUUAAUUUUUGUUCUUUAAUCUUUUAAUAUAAUAUUUGGGUCUUAAUUCUAUCGGUUUGCUGGUUUGCGGAACAAACAUAAGUAUUUUAGAUUUUAGAAGUCUUAGGUUCGAGUUCAAAGUUUUACCAAUUCUAAUUAUUUUUUUUAAACUUUUGAUACUGUAGUAUUAGUGAUUUUUAAUAUUUAAUUUACUGACACGUUAGUAUCAAUAAUUUAUAAUACUUGUUUGUUAAAAGCGGAAAAUGGUGCAUAUGUACAUAAUUACUGAUACUUUUUAUAAAGUGUCAGAAACUAAGUGUCAGUAAAGGUCAUUUUUUUAGUAGUGAGUGCACCUUGCCUCAUGGUUCUCUCCCCUUUUACUUUUUCUCUAUGGCUGGUAAUCUGUGAACCACACGAGCCUCUAAACCGCCUGGUGCCUUUAGGCACGUUAUAGAAUGAUUUUAAGCAGCAUAGGACAGAUCUUAAACCAUGGCAGCAAAUACUCAAGGCAAUAAAUUGACAAUACAAUAAAAAUACAACUGUUACGUUAUUAAAAAAUUCCAAUUUGAAAAUACGAUUAAAACUACUGAAAUAUUUAUUAAGAGAAAUUUAUUGAAUCUCUUUCAUCUAAUCAUAAGGAGACAGAGAUAAUCUUAAAGAAUCCAAUUAUAAAAACAUGAACGUGAGCGAUAAAGAGAGAUUGUAUUUGACUAUAUCUCUGUUUCUUUUUCAUUUUAAAUUUAAAAUUACCUAUUUUACAGGUUUGUUAACCAAUUAACAUAAUUAAAAAUAAUUAAAAAUUUUCAUUAAUAUAAAUAAUAUGUACUGUUGAUUAGAUCUAACGGUAUAUAUUUCCCACACUACUGAUACCGUAAAAAAAUUACGGUAUCAUAAAGGGACCCUUGAAAAUAUUAUUAUUAUUAUUUUCAUAAAUGCUCCAAAUAUAAGAUUUAUAGCUCUUAGAAUUUUAUUUUUUUUUCAUAAAGGGUCCCUUUAUUCUUCUUGGUUGAAAGCAUAAAUAAAGGGUCCCUUUAUUCUUAUUCUUCUUAGUUGUUAGAAUAAUAUUGGACAAGAAAUAAUUGAGUAUGUUGAAAAUUCUCAAGAAAAUUAUCCAUUUGGAAGCAUAAAUAUAAGACAGAAAUAUGAAAUUAAUGAACUUAAUUUGAAGAACGUUUAUUAGCAUUAUCUAUACGAUCAUGCAUAUAUGAGGCCUAUAAGAAGGUUAAUGAUUCUUACAACUCAUGGUAUUUAUUACAGCCAGAAUAAAGUCAACUAAUUACAUAUGCAAGAGAAAUAAUUAAGUAAUUAAGUUGUAAUUAAUUAAUCACAAAGAAUGGCUCAUGUACUUUUUAGAUUGAAGCCCUUGCUGGGAAGUUCAAUUCACUUUUAUCACAUAUGAUCAAAACCACAGUUUCUAGUGUAAUUUUUUGGGGGUUUUGUUGAUUACAUGGAAAGCAACUAAUUACUACAGCUGAAGCAUGCAAAACAAGAUUAGAAGCACAAUACUUUUUGGAUCUGAAGGGGCAAUUUUUUUUUCAAGUUUGUUAUAUGUUCUUUUGUGAAGACCUGAAGAUUUUAGAGCCAGAUUAAUAAUUUUGUCUCUCUUAGGCUUUAUGCGGUGGGAAUGAACUUUCUCUCUUUUAAUUCUCUGUCGUUUUCUCAAUGAAGGCAACAAGAGAAAAUUCAAUCUUUCAAAGUCUCAACAUUCAGAAUUUGGCCAGUCUAGUUGUCGACCUUGCAUCUGCUACAGUAUAAUAUCGCCAAGAGAUUUUUUCGUUGCACUUUACGAAUUUAUAUUAUUUUGAGGAGGGAAUUUAGCUGACUAUUAACGUCUUACAAUUGAAAUUUAAAUGUCGGUCUUUAAAUUCUAAAAAUUAAAGACAAGCCCAAUAUGAAAAUAUAGAUGUUAAAAUCUUCAUUUUUGUUUAUUGAUACUUUAUUUGUUAGUAUCAUUAUUUUAUAGAUAUACUUGAUGUUACACGAUUGACUAAAUAUUUCCAUUAAAAUGCAGAUGGAAAGAAAAGAUGAUGGAGGGCUCCAUAAAAGCAUAAAAACAAACGGAGAGGGUGAAGCAAACUUUCAAAAUUGCAACCAUGAGAAGGAAUCGACAAAGCUUAAUGAAAAAAUAGAUGGGAUGACUUUUAAUCAUGCCACUGUUAGGUAUGAACUUGGUGAGCUGAAGAGGAACAAUUUAGAUACUUAUGCAUUGAUACAAAAAAUGUAUAUUGUAGUUGGAGCACUUAAACAUAAUAUAACUCAUAUGCAAUCACACCCAUGGAAGGAAAAGAUGAACCCUUCUAGUAAAGAUGUUCAAAUAGUAAAAAUGAAUCAGGUGGUCAAAAUUUCGCAGGCAAGGGAGAUGAGUUUAGGGUGAGGAUCGCAGAGAUUAAGGACAAUAUUGAAGACGCAUGUGGUGAAAAUUUAUCAUUGAAAAUAUUAUUUGCAUAUAGGAAACUGAAAGAGAACCAAAUCUUCCACAACUGCCUUGGAACUACGCAAGACCCGAAGUUUCUGAAUUAAUUGAUAUCAAUUAACAAGGAAUAAAAUUACAAAUUAUUUAUUUCUAGAAAUAUUAUUCCUCAAGAGUUCAAAUAAUUUUACGGUUAUCUUUUUGAAGAUUUUUACAUGAAGAUAUGGAUUAAAGAAUGCCAACUGCUCAAAAUCACUCAAGCAACCAAGUAUAUGAUUAUAAGUCAAAUUUCAUGAUUUAACUGUAUUGAUCUAUAAUAUAUGAGAUUGCAUAAUAUAUAUAUAUCCUUUGAUAGAUAAAUGUGUCUAGUUAUGGAUGAAAUUUAUAAAAUCACAUUUGGACUUCUCUUCUUAAAGAUUUUCACAAUUUAGUGCACAAAGGUCACAACUAUCUUGAAACUACACAAGACCCGAAGUUUCUGCAUUAAUUGAUAUCAAUUAACAAUUAAUAAAAUUACAAACUAUACAUUUCUAGAAAUAUUUAUUCCUCAGGAGUUCAAAGAAUUUUACGGUUUUUUAUUUGAAGUUUUCUACAUGAAGAUAUGGCUUAAAGAAUGCUGACUGCUCAGAAUCACUGAAGCAACCAAGUAAAUGAGUAUCAACCAAAUUUCAUGAUUUAACUGUAUUGAUCUAGAAUAUAUGAGAUUGCAUAAUAUAUAUUCUUUGAUAGAUAAAUGUGUCUAGUUAUGGACGAAAUUUACAAAAUCAAAUUUGGACUUCUCUUCUUAAAGAUAUUCACGAUUUAGGGUGCGUUUAGGAGUGAGGUGCUGUAGCUUUUAAGCUGCAGUUGCUGUGGAGUAAAAGCUAUAGAUGUGAAGUGGAAGUUGAUGGUGUUUGGUAAAGGUGCUGUAGCUUUUAAGCUGCAGUUGCUGAUGGUGUUUGGUAAAAGUGCUGUAGAUUUUAAGCUGCAGCUACUGAUGGUGUUUGAUAAAUUUUAAUAGCUGUAGAGUGGAUGAAUAUUUGUAAUAACUAAUUUUAAAUAACAUUAUUUUUAAUUGUUAACAAAUCAAUUAUUUUUCAUUCUUCAAAUUAUUAUAUUGACAUACAAUUACAAUUUAUUACUUUACAAAUUAAAUUAAUAUUUAAUAAAUCAAAUUUAUUUUUUUGCACAAGUUGUAGUAAAUAAUUUAUAAAACACAUCAUGGGGCCAAUUAUAAAUAAUUUUAAAUAACUAUUAUUGACAAUGCCAACCAGGCAGUGUACAUGAUAUGCUUCUCCAAAUUGCUUCGGUUUGUACAUGAUAUGAUUAAUCGAGUAUUAUUUACAAUACCAAAUAUAUCUAAUAAAAAUCAUACAACAAAACAAAACAAAAUAAAAUUAAAAUGUAAUUAAUUACAAAAUUUGUAUAAAUAUUUCUGUUGUUGUACCUCCAUUAAACUUGCAGCAAUGCCAUUUUUCAAGAUUAUUAUAUCUUGAGUUGUGCUAUCAAUUGUUUCAUAACUUUCUUCAUGAGAUGCAAUAUGUUCGCUAAUACUAUGACUUGGUUCAUCCGUCAUUUCAUCAAAAUGAUCAUUAUUUUGUGAAUAUCUUCUGAUAUAAUUAUGCAAGGCCAUGGUAGCAAUAACUAUUUUCACCUGCUUCUUGAAUGGAUAGCUUGGCAUACUUCGUAAAAUCUUCCAUGUAUUCUUCCAAAGCCCAAAAGUACGCUCAAUAACACUUCUUAAGGAAGAGUGCUUGUAGUUGAACAAUUCUUUAUAACCCAUUGGUUAGCUACCUCUACAAAAUUCAGGAAGGUGAUAUCUUUCACCCUUAUAUGGUCCUAAGUACCCACAUAACUCCGGAUAUCCUGCAUCUACUAAAUAGUAUUUUUCUAAAAAUAAAAAAGAAAAAUACAAAAAUAAAUAACACAAUCUAAUCAAUUGAAUAAGUAUAUAUAAAAAAAAAUUAGAAACACAAACCUGGAGGAGGGUUUGGAAAAUUGAACGCAGGAUUCGUAAUAGUUGUUUGAAAUACCCUUGCAUCAUGGGCACUGCCUUCCCAACCAGCCACUGCAAAUAUGAAUUGCAUAUCAAAGCUACAUACAACCAUUACAUUUUGAGUUUAUGUCCCUUUUCCACCAAUAAAUGGAAUUUGAUCCUCCGAAGAUAUUGAGUCAGGUAUACGAACACCAUCAAUAGCACCAAUACAAUCCUUAAAGUAAGGCAUAUAUAUUGAAUCUUCAGAUAUCUCUUUGGGAGUGGUAAUAAAGUCAGGAUCUAACGGUUUUAUCAAAUCUACGGACAUACGACACACACUAUCAAAUAUUUUGUCAAAAUAUCUACUCACAGUCUCACCAGAAUGUUGGAACCGCUCCAUUGUAGACCGAUUUCCUACACUUUGUCCUAGUAUAUACAAAAACAUUCCUAACAUCUCAGCGCCACAUGUUCUCCUUGAACUCUUUAACCCAUAAUUAUCUUCUAAGUCGGUGCAUAAUCUUAAAAAUACAUCACUAUUCAUUCGAAACAUGUUAAAGCACCUGCUUACAUUUCCACCAAGUAUUUCUAUCAACCAUUUAUGCCCUGUUUGAGUAGAAUUCAUACAAGGCUCCUUAUGGAUGAAUGUCAAAUAAUAAUGAUGCAUCAAAACAGCUGUUACACAAACAAGCUGGUCAAACUCCUCUUCAUCAUUAUCCAUAUUUUUAUAUCAAACUAUCAGCUGGCUGAAUUCAAACUCCACUCUCAAAGUAAAUUAAAAGGGAGUAUGCCUACCUCGUUAGAAUUGCUUCAACAGGAUAAAUUAAUUAUGUAUGCUUGGGCAUGUGGAUUUUGUGAAGGAAAUUAUACACCAAGAGCCAGAGCUUGCUGAAAGUUUAAGACAUAAUUAUGGAAGAUAUACUAAUAAUAAUUUCAAUGCUAUUAUUUUUCCUCAAGCAAAUAGUCCAGAAAAAUUUCCAUUUUCUAAAGCGUACAAACAUAUCAUAUCGUAAAGUAAAGAGAAAUUUUUUUUCCAUAAUUCUCAUAUUAAUGUUUAUAACAAAACUUCUCUAGCUGGCCUCUCCAGUAGAAACUCAUCUAAGUAAAGAGAAAAAAAAUUCUAUACCGAUCAAGUGCACAAGAAGAAAUAAAAAAUGAAGGGAUUAUUUUUUAUACUUUGGAGGAAACUCAUUGUUUCAAAACUGGCAAGUGUAGAUUAACGUUUAUUACAUGGAAUAGAAAAUGGCACACCAUAUAAAUGCAAUAAAGUAGUCAAAACUGAACUUUCAAUAAGGAAUUUUCCUUACAGUAGUGGUGGAGCAGGCAACAAAAGCAAUAUGAGGAUCUACUUUUGGCGAACAACAUGCAAAAAAUCACACCUUUUUCAAAAGUUCUCAUGCCAUCACUUGCACACACUCAUGGUCACACCUAUUACUAAUCUACUAUUUCAUGUAAUAUAGUUAUAUUCAUUCAAGACCAUAUUUAUAAAAUCAUAUCAACCAUUUUUCAUAAAUAAUGUGCAACUGCAACCCUAGAAAAAACACAUACGAAGAAGUAUGAUUUCCAUUCUAGAAUUUCCAUUCAACACUGCAAAGGCUGUCGCCCUAGUUUUCACACAAAAAUACAACAAAAGUAGGCCAUGGAGCAUGUCAGAAUUACAAAACUUAACCGUAUAGGAACUAAUACCAAAAACACAUAUGCUAUUAUUUUUCCUCAAGCAAAUAGUCCAGAAAAUUUUCCAUAAAUAAGCCUCAAGCAAAUAAAUCAAUAGCAACAAUUCAUAUACAUUGUAAAUGUAAUAUAAAGUGUAAUCAGUGACAAAAUAAAAAGUAUUCAUUCAUAAACAUAAUUUACAAAAUAUUGUUUCAUAAAUACAAUACAUUUUCAC
rnacentral:lncRNA from 1 species